AAAGACAGAGUUAUGGAUAAUUAGGAGAGGAAAAUUUUUGAAAAGAAGAAACAUUUAAACAUGGGAAAUGAUGGGUUUUUUAUCAUCUUUUUCCCUUGAUUCUUUUGGGGUGGUAAUCGUAGGGGAUUUAGCGACAACUUCUAAGUCAAAAUUCAUUAUGGGUUCGGUAUAACGGGAAGUUUCUUGAUACGAAUACAGAGCCUCAACAAGUUAAUGGCAGUAAGUUUAAGACUGAAUCGAGAAUAUUUUGAAGUCUUUCUGGACCUCCUCUUUCCGUUUGUUUGGGUUCGUGUCUGUGCUCGCCUGAUUGAAAGAUCGUCACCCUCAAACUCGUAGUCUUAUUUUACUACACUGGAAAAGGUAAACUUAUUCUCAACUUCUCACUCUUAAACAAUUUUUUUAGUGUUUGAUCAUGUGUUUGGUAUGAACUAAAAUGUAUGUGUGUAUUGCUUCUUGUCUUUAAAAAAUGCUUUCGUUCUUGUUUAGUUUGAGAUUUCUCUAUGUGGAAAGGUUGUUUGGUUUAUUGAAUCAGCACCUGGGUUGUUUAAAUUAUAUAUAAACUUUUUCUAGAUAGUUAAAGGCUGAAUACUCUACUAAUAUUUGAACUUAAUUUGUUUUUAUUUCCGUGCUUUGGCUUUGUUUCUGUUGUUUCUUUGCUCAUUGGGUUUAAUGUUGAUUAGGGAGAUGGAACUUUGAUUAUGUUUUUUUGGUUUUUCAACGGGUGGUAGAGUCUUAAAAUACUCUAAUAUGAAGCUCGUAUGAUGUUAUCCAUGGCUUAUUGAGGUGGUAGCUCAAUUUGCCUAUAAGCCUCAGAAAGUAAUGUGCUGUGGAGCAUGUUAAUGGUCAUUAUAUAUGCCUAAACUUAAUGUCAUUUGUUUUCUUGAACUAUUCCACGUGUUAUUAUCUUGUAAUCUUUUCUGAGUUAUUUUCUUGAGAAUAUUGCUUGGGCUUGUAUUAUGAAGUUUCUAUUUGAUCCUUUUAUUCGUCUUAAAUUAUUGGUAUUUUAAUACCUUUCCCCCUCUCUACAUGCUAAAAUUUUCUGAAAAUCUGACUUAUUAAGUUGAUUGAAACAAUUUGAUUAAUUUGUCCCGUUAGUCUCGAUUCCAGUCAUGUUUUUUAUAGAUGAAAUGAUUGUUUAAAGCAUUAGUAUCACUGAUUCCCAAUUUUGUUGUGUAUGUCAUAAACAAUGUAUAAACGAAAUGAUACAAUAUAUAAGUUUGCUUUCUCUUUUCCUUUGAAGCUACCAUUUUGUUUGCCAUAUUGUGGAGUUGAUAAAUAAAAAGAGCAAUAUAGAUGAUAGUGCAUUCUGUGAUUUUAAAGUCGUCGCACUGAUUGAUUAAAUACUAUUAUUUUAUUUCUUUUCGUAGCAUGUGAUACUAUCCGAGUUCAGUAUGAACCUUCAUUUUCCCUUUGCAUCUAGCUUGAGAGACUUUGAGGCUCGAAUCCCUUAUUAUUUAAAGUCCAAAACAAAAGGAAGGAUCCAAAGUUGAAAGAGUUGAAGAUAUUUGAAGACGUUGGAUUAGACAACCUUUCUUUUUUAUUCUCUUUUCUUUUUUAUUAUUUUUAAUGGGCCUAAAACCUUGUCGUCCUUCAUUUUCCCUUUCAUUUAUUAUUAUUAUUUUUAGUCUAGGACAAGUCCGAAAGAAUAUGGGUUGAAACCCAAAAAGUCAAAUGAGUUAAAACUCAAAGACAGGUGGGUCUAGCUACCGUUCAAGGCGAACAGAAAACUCGGAUUUGGACCCAAAUCUCUCUCCUCUCUAUCUUUACUUGCUUGUUAUUGCUUAUCUAUUUUUCUUUUCUUUAGUUUUAAAGGUUAGGAAAAUUCAAUUCCCCACUAAAAGCCACUAUGGUUUAACAACUCAAUCAAAUCAUAUAAAUGAUUUAAGAGUUUUACAUAUUAAAAUUAACAUUAGAUAAAUAAUUUUUCACUUUAAAAACAAUCUUAAAAGAUUCGGCACUUCAUUUUUAAACAACUUUAAGUAAUGUUUUAUCAGACUUUUAAGUUUAGCCAAAUAAAUUAGUUGUCGAAUAACCAUGUUAAGCGGACGUCUUGGGUGCUUCAAAAACCUUCAAAAGAAAUUAAUAGGAAUCACCGAGUCCCUCGGAUUUUUUUAAACAAUUUUUCUACUAAGUCUUUGGAAACCUUAGUUUUUAUGAUUUUUUCUAAAAAAAAUUAAGUGACGAUUCUAAAAAAGUCAAAAAACAAACUCACAAAAAUAUUUUUUUGAUGUAAACUUAGGUUUGUCAUUAAUUUCCAACCUCCUUUUGAAGUACCACUAACAUAAGACUUAACCCUCUUGGCUUCUCUAUUCUUUUUUCUUAACCUAGUUUCUUCAACUUGCUGAGCAUGAACCAUGAGAGGAGAGAUAUUCUUAUUAUCAUGAAGCAUAGACGAACGACAUUCUUCCACCAAGUCAUCAGACAUUCCUAUAAGAAAAUGACUCAUCUCAUCCAUGGGACUUGAAACCAAAGAGAAAGCAUACUUGAACAACUUAGUAAACUUCAAAGAGUAGUCAAGUACACUCAUACCUCCUAGACGAAGGUUUAUGAAUUCUUCCGCCUUAGCUUCCCUCUUCUCUCUAGGAAAGAGUCUAUCAAGGAAAACCCUCUUAAAGAUAACCAUGUAACUGGACCACCUCUUAGUGCCUUAUUGUCUCUCCAUUAAACAUACCAAGUUUGAGGCACAUCUUUGAGUUAAUAAGACACCAACUUUGCCUUCUCAAUUGUGGUAACACCCACAACAUAGAGAAUCUUAUGGACCUCAUCGAGUAAAUUUUGAGGGUCCUCAUCUUACCUCGACCAAAAGAACAUAGGUGGACUCAUUAUAGUAAAGUCUCUCAACCGAGAAGCCAUAGUGUUAGCAUUAUGAGUCACUCGAGGUCUAACCCUCCUAUUCACUUGUGCCAUCAUGGCUUGGACUUGAGAAAUGACGGAAUUAGCUUGAGAGGUCAUGGCUUGGGCGAAAUUGAGAAAUAUUACCCUUAUCUCUCCACCGGUCAUUAGUGGAGGAAAAUCCGGAACAUGAUCACCCAUUGCAACUUCUUCAAGUUAAGGCACUUGGUUGUCUUUUAAAGGCACUUAAUUUUAUUGAUCUCCCAUAGUAGACAUUUCUUCCUCGACCCUUCUAUCCACUGCUCUUCGAGUAUUCAUACCUAUAACCACAAUAAAAGGUAUAGGUUAAAGCACAUAACAAGACUCUAGAGGCACAACAUAGGAAAAUAGGAAUAUGAAAGUUUCUAAGCAUCACAUAAUCUCUCAUUCAUAUGUGUGGCGCGCUUCACAAUUAUGAAUUAGAAUUCUACAUACACGUGGUUUAAUGAGACAUCAUUUCUAGGUAUAUUUAACCGCUUGAUCUUAUACUAUGUUUGUUACAUCCGAGAAGUACCCCCUAGAUGUAAUCGGUGUCGUCUUCCUCGCAGAGGAAUAAGACUAGCCUAUUAGCAUUAGUCAUUACAUUCAUCAGUUAAAAACAAAGAAAAUUUAAAAAAAUUCAUCUACACUAUUUCAUGAGGUUUACUUAGACAUCUCAAUUACACAUAAUAUAUACAUAGACCCUUGUUAUAUAAGAUUACAUGGUCUUCUACUUUUAUGGCUAUAUAUAUACUGUAAGUAACAUAGUGUUGAAAGGGAUUUCUAAUAUUAAUCAUCUAAACAUAGCCGAAUCAACAUGGGCAUAAGACCUUAAACAAUGUAGAAAUGCCACUUUGAACUUACAAUGAUAUCUUACAACAACAUGAAUGAAAUGAUUAUCUUUAUACUAUAAUAAAGAACCAUAGCUAAAGUAAUAUCAAGGCAUCAUCCUCGAACAUGAGGAUAUACCUACAAUUGGAGAAUUAUUCCAAGCCUUCCUUCAAAAUGGUCACGAACCUUUUGACGUCCCAAACCUAAAAUGUUGAGGAAAAAGAGAAAAAUGGGUUUAGCACAUCAUUUGUACUAAGUAUAGGAUCAUAUGCACAUGCAACAUAUAAAUCUUGCAAAAAAAGGGCAUCAAUUCAAAAUAAUGCAAGAAUACUUUGGAAGUACCUUAUGCACAUUCAAAACUCAAUACAAGUCAAUAAACACAUACCACUUAACUCGGGACCAUGCAUAUAACAAGACCAACAAUACAAGGUCUAGUCAAGUCAACAUGCAUAUCAACAAAAUUGCGAACAUAAUAAAGAAAACUCUAUCAUAAAGUUAUAAUACUACCAAGCACGCAUAAGAGUUCAUAACAUCAUAACCUAAGAAAUACCAUCACUCAUACACCAUCAUAAGUCCACCAGUGCAAUGAUUAAGUAUGGCCUCAUAACCUCACUCAAGCAAGUAAACCCAACAAGAACUAUACGAAAUGUACAAAAUUACAUACUAUAUAAUUAAGAGUAGACAUCAUCUUACUUUAGCAAUAGAUACAAAACACAUGUUUAUAAGUGAAACCAAUAUCACCUAGUGUCAUCAACAUGUAAGAUGAACGUAUAGAUAUCAUUUACAUUUAUAAUCAUAUAAGAACAUAAUAACAUCCUUCUAGAACUUCCCUCAAGGCUUUCUAGUGCAAAGUAUAGAUAGAGUCUCAUACCCCAACCUAGACUAACUCGAACCCCAUAGGUCAUCCUAGUUAGAGUUCACUUUGUUACUUCGUUUUAACUUUUGGGAACAUCUUCCAUUAACCAACAUAGACCACAUGAGCUAAUGUGGAAUCCAGUCAUGAAACUAUUCACCGAAAAAGGUGGACUACUUGCCAAGGUAGUACCAAAACAUGAGCAUAGCAUCUAUAUGGAUCAACUAGCUAGUAUUCCUGUGGUGGCGAAAUUGUUCAAGAACUAGGAGAUGUAGUUGGGACCGUCUUUAUGCUACAUGCAUUAUCGUCUUCAAUCUCAUGAGUGCAAUAGUGAACCUACCUUCCCCAUAUCAGAAGGGACACUCCUCACUACUAGUUCACUCGGUUCUAAGAUAGAAUCUCUUUUGAAAUGUCUUUCAUUAAUAAUAAUAACUUAAUUUAGGUCAUAGAGGUAAACGCCAUAUAUAUUCAUAGACAUAGCUUAAUAGGAAUUUCACAAAUAUGUAGUUAUAAAUAAAAUUCACAAAUCUGAGGUUUGCACAUUUACAUGAUCAUAUCAUAAUAAGGCACAUAGUCAAAUUCAUAACCAACCCUAUAUCAUCAAAUCUUAGCAAACAACUCAGAAUCCAUAAAUCAAGACAUUUUAAUUCAAUAUGAUACCAAAAUUGAUCAAUAUAAUCAUGAGUUUUACAUCAAUAUAACUUCAUCACUAAACACAACAAAUCAUAAUUGAAGUAAAGGUUUCAUAUCACAAGACUUACCCCUAUCUCCUUCACAAGCCAUCAUCCAAUGUUUUAUAAUCAACCAUCCAAUCAACCAAAUAAUGGGUGUAAUACUAUACCACAAUAGUAAUUAACAGAAUAAUGAAGUCAACAGAAUUACUAAACAUCAAUUAAUCACUAAUUCAUAAACUAGGGUUAGGGACUUGGGGUCAUAUUCAAGAUUUAAUCUACAAAACUAGGUUAACUCACUAAGAACUAGAAUAAUUAAAUCAUAAAAAAUCAUAAUCUAAACAUAAUAAUAAAAAUAAACCAUAUAAAAUACAAUUUAGAAGAUCCAAUUUGUAAUAGAAAAAAACUCACUCGAAACUCAUCUUUUUGAAAACAAUUUUUGAAGAACCCUUUGGAAAAAGGAAUCCCAAAUCUUAAAGGAUCUCAUACCUUUUUAAUUUAUGAAUAUUUAUGGAUGGAACUUUACUUCUUGAUUCCCUAGAACCCACCUUGACCUUGGUCUUGUUUGGAGUUUAUUUGGGAGACAGAAAGUAGAGAGAAGGAAGAGCUAUUGUGUUUUUGGGAAUUAUGAGAGUUGGGUUAAUUUAAUUAGGAUUGUAUCUUUAUGUAUGUCAUUAAAUAAAUUAUUUAACCUAACAUAACCCAUAAUUAAUUAACUAACCACAUAAUUAAUUAUUUGAACUAAUUGAGAAUUUGGCAGCCAACAGUGACCCAGACUUACAAGACCCCGACCACAUAAUCAAGGGACGACUAUGACGUUCAACGACUAGUCACCUAUGUGCAUCGUUUUUGUUUGAUAUGCUUAUAAGCGUAUCAUGAUAUGAUGAUGUGCUUAUAUGAGUUAUAAUAAUAUUUAUAGGCAUUGUGUCAAGUUUAAUGAAAUGUUGAGGUCAAACGUCUAUGAACGUCCAUGAUGUUUGAAAUAUUUUCGAUGAAAUUACCAUGUGUAUUUUAGUAUGUUUCAUCCGAGUUUUAUGUGUUUUUUUUGGAUAAAAAUUAAUAUUAGAGGUCCUAAACUCGUAUAUGAGCAUAUUAUAGUUGAAAACUAGCAAACAAAAGUCCCAAAGUUCCAACAAAGGUUCCUUGAGGAAGGACCCAUCUUGGUGGCGAAAAUGGCCAAAAGCAGACCUACCUACGGAUGGUAAUCGACGACCAGUAGCUUUGUCGAAGCCCCAUGGGUUGAGGGAUUUGUUCAAUACAUUGGAGUUUGAGGUUUGACUUACAAUGACCAGCACUUGUCCCAAAUCAGGGACCAGUAGGACGGUCCAUUUGUUGGGAGACGACCCAUCGAUAGCCAAGCGCAGGUGAUGCCUGCAACCUCUGCAGUUCACUAUUAAAUUCAACUAUGAAUUCGUAAGAUUUUGGGCCUUUUUUAAGAGUAUUAUUGAUAUUUUAAUAGGGUUUAUAAGUACUAAUUACUUAGAUGAAUUAUUAUUAUUUCAAAAUGAAAAUCCAAAUUCACUAAGAAAUUUUUUAGAACUCCAUCGAAGCCAAAACUCAAGAAAGAGGUUGGAUUGAAGAUUUUAUUGGUGAUUAUCCAUAAAUUUAGUGGUUUAUAUUCAUUGAGGUUUGGUUCUUCGUCCUUGAAACCCUUUUCAUCAAGGAUCCAUACUUCAAAUUUAUUUCUAAAGUAUUCUAAAGACAAACUAGUCAAAUUUUGAUAUCUAUCCAUUUGUUCUUGCAUUAAACAUUUUGAAUCAUUGUAUAUUGAUUGAAUUGAUGUUAAUUAUAUUAUAUUAACCUAAUUAAUCUAUGAACCCAUACAAUUCAUGAACCCUAUUUUUUGACUACUUUGUGGGUAAUAUGAUUAUGUCUUAAUGCUUAUGAAUUCUAGUGUAGUUUUUAUUGGGCUAUUGAAUGAUGUAUGAAUUGUAUUGAAUUUUGGUAUAGGCUGUUUUAUAUUGAUAAAUAUAUAUUGAAUUGACCUAUAUUUAUUGAAUAUUAUGAUUUUUGUGUUGAAUUGAUGAUCAUGGCAUGGGUAAGGGCCUUUUGGUAUUGUAAUGGAUGAUUACCUAUGGAUUGAAGUUGUUAGAAUGGAUUGGUGGUAUGCUGCCCUAGUUCUCUUUAUUUUACGUAAUGUAGACCUUAAAUGAUGUUAUUAUUCCUAUGUUCCACUUAAAUUUGUGGUGCUAUGUGCUUCAAUUGUGUGAAUGAUGUGGCGUUUUUGGCGUUACUUUAUGCAUUAUGAUGACCAUGGCCUUGUCAACAACUACUUGAUAUAUUAUGAUGGUUCUGUAGUUGAUUUAUAUAAUGAAUGAUCAUGUAAUUCUAUUAGUGAUUAAGGUGAAAGUACGUGUGUGGUGUUAGAGUUGAUACAUGAUUCUUCCUACAUGAUUAUAUGAGCCUAUAAUGGUUAUGUUGAUGAUCCUAUAGUAGUGCAUAGUGUCACGGACUUAGAGUAUUUAAUAAGACUUCGUGCCGCAAUUGAAAACUUACUCACGAAUCUUUCACGAUCUUUUAAGGUCAAGUAUGCCUUUAAGACAUAGAUCGAUAAUAGAAUGUAAAGAGAGAAUUAGAAAGAACUUUGGAAGAGGGCUUGUAUUAAGCUUGGAAGACUUGCGUACAACUUUGCUUGGUUGGAUUUGUUGGAUGAUUUACAAAUGAGAGGCAUGUUUCCAUUAUAAAUUGUGUAAAUGUUUCAUUUUUUGAUUUUUGAAGCAUGUUCACUGUUAGAAAAUUUAGCUCACUUUAAUGGUGUUAGACUUUUGACUGUCAUUCUUUGUUGAAAAUUAUUGUAAUGUGCAUAGAACUAAUGUAUAUGAGCAUUAUAAUAAAUAUAAAAUGAGUUUUUGCUAUUUGGAAGGAAGGAUGUGAGUCUUAUGGCAUGAUGAUUCAUUGAUUUUUUUAGAUUCAUGUUUUCAUAUCCCGAGAACACACCCCAGAAUGUCACCAGCGUACUUGACCACUCGAAGGUCUUGUACAAGCCCUUUCGUAUCGUUCAUCACAUAUAAACACAUGAAAAAUAGUGCAAAAUUAAAACAUCUGAUAAACAUUCUAUAAGUCAUUAAAAUAUCUUUCAGAUAAAACUAAAAGUAAAUGGUAAGUCUCAUUUCAUCAAAUCUUAGACACAAGAAUAGUUUGGGAUACAUCCCAUAUAAAAUAGAAAUAUAGUACUACUAAGUCUAUUACAAUAUUUCGAUUAAGGUAAUAAAAGACAUCUAUGCCCUUGAGUCAAAUGAGGACAUACUUGAACUUGCUUAAACGAUCUUAUAAUCAAAGCUUAACUCCCCAAUAGCACCUUCCCAUAUGAAUCACUUUAGAGAUAGAUAAAAACAUGGAAUUAGUAAAAACACAUGUACUAAGUAUGUCAUAAUGCAUAAAAAUCAUGACAAUGAACAUUCAUUGGAAAUAUGAAUCUUUUGGCUUAAACAUCAUAAUAUAAUGAUAAAAACAAAAUUUAACAACUUAGACACACAUAAGAAAUCAAUUAAUCAAUUUAGAACAUUUUUAGAAAUCUUUAUAGUGAAGUUGUGUCACUUUACAAUGACUAAAUUCAAUGUUUCAGUGAAGUUUCUCAACUUUACAAGGAUCUCUUUCUAGCAUCCAAUCCUCUCACUAUAAGCUAAUCUAAGACUCACUUAAAUAAGACAAAGAGAUACUGUCCAUACACCCUCUCUAGGCACACCUAAAUAUUUCUUAAGACCACCUAUAAUGAGAUAUACAAACAUACAAUACACCAGUCACAUAAUCAUGAGAUCCCUCCUACAAAAGGUGAUUCUAUGUUUCACUUGAGUGAGAUGUGAAGCAACCGCCCAUACAAUAUCCUACACACACACUUAAGAGAUCCUAUAGACUACCUAAAAUAAAAUCAUUCUCACUUAAUACAAUAGCAUACAUAUAAUAUGACAUUCUCCCUUCAAAAGAUUAUCAAAAGACUUACAUGAGUAAAUCAAGAAGAUAAUGUCAAGGAUUGACCUCUUCAAGAUUACCUAAAUAAUCUUUAAGACUACCUAAGGCUUAGAUCAAGUCUACAUAAUCAACCGACUUCUCUAAGUAGCGUCAUUAGUAAAACUAAUCUAGGUAAGAUACGAAGUGACCAUUCCUAUUUAAUAUUCACACUUUAACUAGACAACCUUAGCUACUCUAGAUAAUUACUUCUUCGGUAACAUGCUUUCUUAACUUAAGUCAUUACAUUCAUUAGUUCAUUUAAGACUCAUUCACCACAUAAGGAAUAUCAUGUAAUGGUCUUGGACCUAUUAUGCAAUGUUUAUAUAUCGUCACAUACCACCACCUAAACUUCAUACAACAUCUCCAAUACUAGUAGGUAUCCACAUGAUAAGAAUAGGCAAUAACUGACAUAGACCAUGAUAGAUAAAUAUUGACUCUAGAGUUCUAUCCUACUCCGAUGAUAGUGUUCUAUUUUCCAAUGGUAGAAUUUUGAAACAUCCCAUGUAGGCACAUGGUUAAGGAAUAUGAAGGUAUUACUUUGUACUCUAGCCUCAUAAUUUAACCUGAGAUUCCUACCUUAACAUACUCACUCGGUGCUAACCAUUAUUCUCAUAGAGUCAUUUAAAUUAAAGGUUCAUACAAAGGGGAUCCAUAUAAGGUUCAUAACCAAUAACAUUCACCAUACCAAUGUCGUCCUCUUCGCCUACCUUCCAAUGGAGACAAGAUAGCGCAUCAUAAAUUUCAUAAGGAUGAUAUAGCAUUGUUCAUGCAAAUAACACUUAAGUCCAUCAUUUAUUACAAGAAGGAUACCAUUACGACUUUCGACUUCCAUAUUCAUAACCUUACCACGAGGUUCAAGGUUUCACAUAAAGACCCUCUGAAAAUCAUUCCAGGUCACACGUAAUUCAUACAUUCAAGACUAAGAGUCUUUAACAUGCUAUGUCAAGACAUCUCAGAUUCACAUUCAUAUAUGUAUCAAGUAAUUGACACAAGUCUACCACCCAAGACACACCAUACUUUACAUAUAACCUUUAGCAUGUAAUUCUAGAAACACAUAGGAAUAACCAUUAUCAUCUUUUAAGUCAUUCUAUACACUACUCUAACAUCCUCAAUAUAACCAUCAUAUAUUCAAAUAAUCAAGUAGGAAUAAUCAUGCAUCACUCUAAGGCAACACGUACAACGACAUAGUCAAACUCUAACGUGAUCACCUAAGAAUAUCAAUAGAAGACCACAUACCUUCACAUAAUCACAAGUAUGGAGGUGUGAUAAUACUUCACAUAAUCAACUACAAAAAUCAUUAUAAUACUUAAACUAAGUGACGACAUGGCCAUGAUAUUCAUAAUACAUAAUGUAACGCGGACAAGGCCACAUCAAUUGCAAGUGAAGAACAUAUCACCGCCACUAUAUGUGGAACAUACUAACCACCACAUAAAUAAUAUACAAUAAUCAUAGAAUACUGAUUAUUAGGACAUCAUACCACCAAUCUAUUCUCACCACUUCAAUCCACAACGAAAUUAUCCAAUUCCAUAUCAUUAGACCGUUACCCAUGACCAAAAAAUAAUUUCAAUACAAGUAUCACAAUACUCAAUGAAUGUAAGUCCAUUGAAUAUAUAUUUAUCAAUAUAAGAACAAUUAAAUAUCAAAUAGACACAAUUCGUAAAUCAUUAAAUAGACCAUAGAAACUACACCAGAAUUCAUAAGCGUUAAGACAAUAUCACUUAACCCAUCAAGUAGUAAAAAACUAGGGUUUAUCAAUCACAUGGGUUUAUAAUUUAAUUGAGUUAGAAUAAUAUAUGUAACAAAAAAUCAAUCAAUAUACAUUGCUUUAAAACCUACAAUGCAAGAACCCAUGGAUCGAUCAUGAAAUUUGACAAGUUUAUCUUUGAAAAAUUUAGGAAACUCUUUGAAUGUUAAGCUCCUUAAUUAAUAGAGUUUCAACGAUGAUAAAACAUACCAAAAUUAUGUUAAUACACCAAUUUGAUUAAUAAUCUCCACUCAAUUCUCCAAUCCAAGCUCUUUCUUGAGUUUUUGCUCCAAUGGAGUUCUAGAUAAUUUCUAAGAGAAUUUGGGUUUUGUUAUGAUGAAUGAAUUCUCUUAAGUGUUUAAGACUUAUAAACAUGUUUAAAAUACCAAAAAUACCCCUAUGUAACCUCCCUUUAUCAUAUUUUGACGUUGGGUGAAAUUACUUUUUUACCACACGCAUUACAUUAAACCUGCACAGGAACCAGCCUCACAGACGGUUACCAAACGAUGGAACAUUUGUUCACAAACGGACGGCCCUGGAAUCUCUUUUUUGUUAGAGAGACUUGAAUUUGGGAUCUUUAUAUCUCUAUUCUAUAUCUUGAUCCACGACACUCAUUGACGGGGAGACGACUGGCCCACGAGACGUGGUUUGCCUCAGUCGACUGGGGCCUGGUCUAGGAAACCUUCACUCAAAUGAAUGUCCUUCCUCAAGGACCCUGGGAUGGUCCUUGGUGGAUUUUCACCCGGACGUUUCCAGCCCAUAAAUGUUUGUGUACGAGCUUAGGAGUUCCCACAUUAAUUUAAUACAAAACGAACACGUAAAAGUCGACGAAAUAUGCCAAGACACACAAGGUCUUUUUAAGGAAAACCUUUCGAACAUCAUUGACAUUCUUCCAUAUUUGACCUUAAAACUUCACGAAACUUGACACAAUGCCUAUACAAACUAUAAUAAAUAAUAUAAGGACCUCUUCAACUCAUUAAACACAAAUAUAGGUACAUAAUAACACAUGAGGCACAUAUGUGAACUCAAUCGUCGAACGUCUUGGUCGUCCUUUGAAUUUUAACUUCUAAAUCACCUAAAACUAAUGAAAAUUCCUCAAUGCUACAUUAUAGACCAUUUAGGACCUUAGACACGCAUGGCAACUAAGUUAGGUUCUAGUUUCACCUUAGUCAUUUUCGAGGUAUUACAUUCUCGCUCACUUGGAUAACAUUCAUCCUCGAACGACACUUGUCAUUCACCGAACACUUACAUGAGUAGACACACAAUUUAAGAGCUCAUGAUCAUACCAUAAAACACAUUAUAGUACACACAAUCAAGAAGGAAUAUCAAUUUCACUUAAUUAAGAGCAUCAUAACACAACCAGAAAUUAAAGUAAAUUCUACAACUCUCAUGCCAUAAAUAUCAUGCUCAUAUACAUAUGUUAUAACCAAAAUAUAAAAAUUUUCUACCAAAGAUGUAGUAGUCAAAUUUGGAAAAAUCUCACCGUGAGCGGGCAACCAUUUACAGUAAUUUAUGUAAAUUUUUCAAAAAUGCAAAUUUUUGGCAAUUCAUGAUUGAAACAUUCUAAUAUGCAGGAUAAAACCAUAUAAACAAAAUUUUCAACAUAAUCAUAACUUCAUACAAUUUAAUCAUAACUUCAUACAAUUCACAAUGCAAGGAAUCAAUGAAAUUCAAUUUCAACAAGACCCUUAAACACAAUGCACAUGCAACAUAAUUCUAUAAUUUUCUACUCUCAAGCUUGAGUUGAAUUGAAUAGAUGAGGUUAUCAAGAAAAUCUCCACUACUCACCAAACUCUCCCACUUAUAAGUAACUCAUACCCCUAAAUAAAUACAAGUACUUACCAUCAUCAUCAUCAUUAUCAUCGUCCGACUUCGAUCCUCUAGUCUGAAGUGCAUAUAAACGCCUCUUAUUUGGAGCAUCAAAAUCAACUCCCGAUACCCCUUAUGCAUUCCCCAUAGGUCCUGUUUACACAAGUGACACAUGUAGGUUUUCCAUUUUGAGAACCACCUCCUUUCUCAAAUUUCACCUUAAGAGCACUAGGUUCAUCUUGGCUUUGAGGCCUCCUUGUGAACCUAGGUUGACCUUAAUCACUUGAUCCACUCUUUUUAAUGUUUUUGGCAAUUCUUCGAAGUUUAGACUCCUUAAUUGAUUGAGCAUACACCUUUAGUCUAGUUAGGUUCAUAUCAUCAUGCAGAAUAGAGUAUGACAUUCUUCCUUCAGUAGAUCGACGAGAUCAGUCACAAACCUAUCAUCUUAUCCCGAGGGUAAGACACAAGGGAUGAAGCAUAUUUUGAGAACAUAGAAAACUUCAAUGAGUAUUUCCCAACACUCAUAUUUCCUUGCUUGAUAAUAAUAAACUCCUUUAACUUAACCUCCCUCCUCUGAUAGGGAAAGUACUUACCAAGAAAAUCUUCCUUAAACUUUUCUCACACAAAGGGAUUUGACUAAACCGGUCUAUUUCCUUUCCAUUGUGUUUACCACAAAUGAACAACAACUUUAAAUUAAUACGAAGCCAGCAAUGUUUUCUUCCUUGAAGUCACCCACAUGGAACUAUACACCUUGUACACACCAUCGAGGAACUCUUGCGAAUCCUUUCCCACCUUAGAGUAAAGAAAGAUAGGAGGAUUCAUCCUUACAAAAUCUGUCAAUCUAAAUGUCUUAGUUCUCUCCACAACAUUAACUUUAGGUGCAAGACCCAUAUUCACAUAGGUAGUCAAUGCUCAGGCUAAAGUUAUUAAGGCCUCUCUACUCUCCCCAUUAGUAAUUUUCGGGUGAAGCACCAGAAUAUUCUUACCAUUACCCACUAUAUGGACUUGAUCACCUUGAGGAACCUGCUCAAUUUUAGGAGGAAAUUCCUCAUUCACAUUAUUCUCCUCAACUCUCCUAGAUGGUGUCCUGCUACAGGACAUAGGAGUAUAAAGAAGGGAAACUCUAUCGUCCUACAGCCUCUCACACAUAGAGGUGGCGCGACUCACAACGUUUGUCAAGACUCUACAAGAUGUGACUUGAUGAGACUUUUUGAUUCAUAAGAUCACUUUCAUAACCUAUGUCUGAUACAAAGCUUGUCACAUCCCAAAACCACACCCUAGAAUAUAUGACACACUUAGAGUGUAACCGAUGUACUUGACCUCUCGGAGGUCUUGUAAAAUCCCUUCGGUAUCAUUCCUUAUGUAUAAACAUAUGAAAAGUAGUUAUGAAUUAAAACUUUUCACAAAUAUUCUAUAAGUCUUUAAAAUAUAUUUCAUAUAAAACUCAUCGGAAAUACUAAGUCUCAUUUCAUCAAAUUACACACAAAAAUACGUUGGGACACGACCCAUACUCAAUAGAAAUAUAGUACUACUAAGUCUAUUACAAUACAUUGAUAAAGGAAAUUAAAGACAUAUAUGCCCUUGAGUCAAAUGAGGAUGUACUUAAACUUGCUUGAGCGAUCAUCUAAUCAAAGCUUAGAUCGCGAAAAACACCUUAACCUAUGAAUUACUUUAGAGGUAGAUAAAAGCAUAAAAUUAUUACAAAUACAUUUACUAAGUAUAAUAUAAUGCAUAAAAAAUCACGAAAGCGCACAUUUAUUUUAAAUAUGCAUCAUUUGUUUUAAACAUCAUAAUAUAAUCAUAAGAACAACAUUUAACAGCUUAGACCCAUAUAAAUAAUCACUUAAUAAAUAUAGAACAUUUUCAGAAAUCUUUAUAGUGAAAUCGUGUCACUUUAUAGUGACUAAAUUCACCGUUUCAAUGAAGUUUCUUAACUUCAAAAGAAACUUUUUCUAGCAUGCAAUCCUCUCACUAAAAGUUAUGCUAAGACUCAAUUAAGAAAGAGAAAGAAAGACUGGCCAUACACCAUCUAUAGGAACACCUAAAUGAUCCUUAAGAGCACCUAUUGAGAAUCAAACAUUUAUGAUACACCAACAACGUGAACAUAAGAUCUUCCUACUAAAAUUUUUUCUAAGGUUCGCAUGAGUGAGACGUAAAGUAACCGCCAAUACAAUGCCUUACACACAAACUUAAGAGAUCCCAUGGACUACCUAUGAUACAAUCAUUCUCACUUAAUACAAAAGCAUACACGUAAUAUGGCAUUAUUCCUUUCAAAUAUUAUAAAAAGACUUACUCAUGUGAAUCAAGAAAAUCACUUCCAUGAUUGACCUCUUCAAGAUUACCUAAAUAAUCCUUAAGACAACCUAAGUCUUAGAUUAUGUGCUACAUAAUUAACCAUCUUCUCUAGCUAGUGCCGUUCUUAAUACUUAUCUAGGUAAGAUUUAAAAUGACCAUUCCUAUGCCCCCUUCACACUAUAACAAGACAACCCUUAACUACUCUAGGUAAGUACUUAUACAUUUUACAUGUUGUAUUAACUAAAUUCAUUAUAUUCAUUAGUUCAUUUAAGACUCAUUCAUCAUAUAAGGACAUUCAUGUAGGUCUUGGACAAGGCCUAGGGACUUUGACUAACAUCUUCAAAGCCUAUUGUGCAAUGUAUAGAUAGCGUCCCAUACCAUCACCAAAACUUCAUAGAACAUCUCCAAUACUAGUAAGUAUCCCACAUGAUGAGAAUAUGCAAUAACCGACAUAGACUGUGAUAGCUAAACAUGGAAUUCAGAGUUCUAUCCUACUCCUAAGAGGGUGUUCUACCUUCGAAUGGUAGAUGUUGGACACAUCCCAUGUAGGCACAUAAUUAAGGAAUAUGAAGGUCUUAAUUUGUACUCUAGGUUCAUCCUCUAACUAGAUCUACUUACCUUACCAUACUCACUCGGGGCUAGCCUUUAUUCCCAUAGAGUCCUUUAAAUUAAAGGUUCAUACAGAUGGCUUCCAUAUAAAGUUCAUAACCCAAUCACAUUAACCGUACCAAAGAGGUCCUCUAGUGAUACCUUCCAAUGGCGACAAUAUAUCUCAUCACGACUUUCCUAAGGAUUAUGUGAUGUUGUUUUAGCCAAUAAAUAUUAAGUCUAUCAUUCAUUACAAGAAGGAUACCAUUUUCGAAACUCGACUUCAUAGUUCAUAAAUUUACUACUAGGUUCAAGGAUUCACAUAAAGACCCUCUUAAAGUCAUUCAAGGUCACAUGACAUUCAUACAUUCAAGACUAAUAGGCUUUAGCAUCCUAAGUAAAGAAAUCAUAUUUUCACAUUUAUACAUGAAUCAUGUAUGGCACACAAGUCUACCACACAAGAUACACCUUACUUUACAUAUAACCUUUAGCAUGUCAUUCUAGAAGCACAUAAGAAGAACAAUUAUCAUCUUUUAAGUAAUACUAUAUACUACUAUUAAAUCAUAACUAUAACCAUCACAGACUCAUAUAGUCAAGUAGGAAUAAUCAUGCAUCAAGUCUAAGGCUACACAAACAACGAUAGAGUCAUAAUCUAACAUGAAAACAUAACAACAUCAUUAGAAGAAAACAUACCUUCACAUAAUCACAUGUGAGUAGGUAUGAUAAUACUUAACAUAAUCAAAUACACUAAUCAUCAUAAUACUUAAAGUAAGUGACGAAAAGGCCAUGAUCUUCAUAAUACAUAAAGUAACGUCGACAAGGCCAGAUCAAUUGCAAGUAAAGCACAUAACACCUCCACCAUAAGUGGACCCACCAAUAAAAACAUAACUGAAGUCUAAUUAAUAUAUAAUAAAUAUAAUUAGGUCUGCGUACCACCAAUCCAUUUUCACCACUUUGAGCCAUAGCUAAAUCAUCCAAUUCAAUAUCAUAAGGCUCUUACCCAUGGCCAUGCACAUCAAUUAAAUACAAUUAUCACAACCUAAAUGAAUAUAAGUCAAUUUAAUAUAGACUUAUCAAUCUAAGAACAUUUAAAAAAAUAAUAUGAAUACAAUUCUAACAUCAUCAAUAGCCCAUGGAAAACUAAACUAGAAUUCAUAAUCAUUAAGACAAUAUCACUUAGCCCAUAAAGUAGUAAAAACUAGGGUUCAUCAAUUACAUGGGUUCAGAGGUUAAUUUAUUUUUUAUAAUUUAAUAUACAACACUUGAAUCGAUGUACAAUAGUUUAUAACAUUUAAUGCAAGAACCCAUGGCUAGAUCAUGAAUUUGGACAACUUCAUCUUUGAAAACUUUAGAGAACUAUUUAGAUAUAGGGAUCCUUGAUGAAUAGAGUUUUAAAGAUAAAACAAUCAUACCUCGGUGAUGUUAAUCCACCAAUUUGAUGAAGAAUCUCCACUCAUUUCUCCAAUCUAAUAUCUUCCAUGAGUUUUUGCUCCAAUGGACUUCUAGAGAAUUUCUUAGAAUAUUUGGGUUUUGAUUUUUUAAUAAUUAAUUCUCCUAUGUGUUUAAGACUUAUAAACUUGUUUAACAUACCCAAUUUACCUCUAAUUAACAUCCCUUUCUCGUAUUUGGAUGUGGGGUGAAAUUACCACUUCAUCCCUAUCAUCAAAGUAAACCUGUGCAUGAUCAAGCCUCACAGACGGUUUCCAAACGACGUACAGUUUGUCCAUAAACGGACUGCCCUGUCUUCUCAUCGUUUAAUUUACAGAUUUGAAAUUAGGAGCGUGAUCCAUGUUUGCCUUAGCCGAUUGGGGCCUGGUCUAGGAAGCGUUGGCUCAAAUGAAGGGUCCUUCCGCAAGGACCCUUGAAUGGUCCUUGGGGAUUUUAACCCAGAUGUUUGCAACCCGAAUAAGUUUGUAUACGAUAUAAGGAACUCCCAUAAAAUGUUUCAUCAAAAACCCACACGUAAAACUAGACGAAACAGGCCAACAUAAACAAGGUUGUUUCAAGGCAAACCUUUCGAGCGUAAUGGACUAUCUUGGACGUUAGACCUACAAACUUCACGAAACCUAACACAAUGCCUAUAAACACUAUAAUAACUUAUAUAAGGACCUCAUAAUCUAAUGACACACACAUAAGAAUAUCAAAUACACUUAUGUGUGGUUAUGUGCCUCUCUAUGUUUGUCCUAUGCUUAUGAGGUCCUUAUAUGAGUUGUAAUAUUGUUUAUAUAUAGAGUUUCAAGUUUCAUGAAGUUUUGAGGGAAAAGAUCCAUGAAUGCCCAUGACGUUUGAAAGGAUUUCUUUGAAAUGACCUUGUACGUCUUAAGAUGUUCGUCGAGUUUUAUGUGUUCAUUUUGAAUGAAAUUUAUAUGGGAGGUCUUAAAAUUGUAUAAGAGCAUAUUCGUGUUAGGAACAUCUGUGAAAAAGACCCCAAGAAACAACCAAGGGUCCUUCUUUGUGGUCAAAAUUGCCAAAAGCAGUACUACCCAUGGAUGGCGAUAGAAAGCCGGGAACCUAGUUGACGAGCCAUAGGUGGAGGGCGUUUUUUAAGACUUAGGGAUGGGUGGAUGGAAUUUAAGUUACCAACCUCUAACCGAAACCAUGGACCCGCAGGUUUGUCCAUUGAUUGGGAGAUGGACCGUCGAUGUCCAAUCAUAUGUAAAGCCUGCAACCUGUGCGGUUCACUGUUAAAUGCAAGGGUAAAUUGGUAAAAUCACCCUAUCUCGAAAAAAGAGUUAUGGUUGUUUCUUACGUGUAUUCUAGUUAUUUUAAGAGGGUUUAUAAGUCCUAAUUACCUAGAAGAAUUAUUAUUCCAAAAUCAAAACCAAAAUACUCUAAGAAAUUCCUACUGUAUUGAAGCGAAAUCUCAAGGAAAGGCUUGGAUUAAAGAUUUGAUUGGUGAUUCAUCAUCAAUUUUUUGGAUUAGAUUCACUGAGGUAUGGUUCUUUACCCAUGAAACUUUUGAAAAAAGAAGCUGAACUUCAAAUUGAUUUCUAAUGUCUUCUAAAGAUGAACUUGUUCAAUUUUUAUACCUAUCAAUGGGUCUAUCCUAAAAUGUUUUGAAUCAUUAUAUAUUUAUUGAAUUGAUGUUUAUAAGAUAAUUUUAACCUAAUAUAUAUAUGAACCCAUGUAAUUCAUGAACCCUAGUUUUUGACUACUUUGUGGGUGACUUGAUUAUAUCUUAAUUCCUAUGAAUCCUAGUAUAGUUUUCAUUAUGAUAUUCAAUGAUGUAAGAAUUAUAUUGAAUUUAUGUAUAGCUUGUCUUAUAUUGAUAAAUACAUAUUGAAUUGACAAAGAUUCGGCUAUGGGUAACAACCUUUUAUAUUGUAAUGUAUGAUUUAGCUAUGGAUUGAAGUAGUGAGAAUGGAUUGGUGGUACGCUGCCCUAAUUCUCAUAUUUUAUGUAAUGUAGGUCUUGAAUUAUGUUAUAGUUUGUAUGGUCAAUUUAUGUUAGCGGUGAUAUGUGUUUUACUUGUGAAUGUUGUGGCUUUGUUGGCGUUACAUUAUGUAUUAUGAUGAUCAUGGCCUUGUUGACAACUAUUUGAUAUAUUAUUAUGGUUUUGUUGUUGAUUUGUAUGAAGUAUGAUCACGUCUUUCUACAUGUGAUUAAGGUUAAAGUAUGUGUUCUUCUAUUGAUCUCGUUAGGUGAUCAUGUUAAACUAUGAUUCUGUCCUUAUGUCUAUAGUCUUAGAGUUGAUGCACAAUUCUAGUCUAUGAUGGUUAUGUUGAUGAUCUUAUAAUACUGUGUAGGGUGACCUAAAUUUAACUUGGUUGUUCUUAUUUUCUACUUGAAAUACAUUCCAUAUGGGAACAUGUGUGUGUCCCUUACUUUAUAUAUUUAUAAUGAGAAUGUGACUUCUUGACUUAGUAUGCUAAAACCUCUUAUUCUUGUAUGUAUGAAUGACAUGUGACCUUGAAUGUUUAUAAGAAGGUCCUUUAUGUGGAACCUUAAACCUAGUUGUAAGGUUAUGAUAUACUUGAAGUCGAAAGCUGUAACAAUAUCCUUCUUAUGUGAACGGUGAACUCAAAUUUUGUUGGCUGGAAGGACAUGAACGCAUCGUUAGGAAAAUCAUUAAGAUAUUCUAUGCACCUCUUUAGUAAGGUGAAUGUGAUUGGGUUAUAAACUAGAUAUGGAACCUCUUCAUCUAAUCCUUUAUAUGAAUUACUCUAUGAGAAAAAAAGCUAGCACCUAGUGAGUAUGGUAAGGGAAGUAGCUUUAGUUAGUCAGGAGGCUAGAGUGCAAAGAAACCAUUCAUAUUCCUAGACCAUGUGCAGACAUGGGACGUGUCAAAGUUCUAUUAUUAGCAAGUAGAAAACCCUCCAUCGGAGUAGGUUACAACUCCCGAUUUCAUGCUUAGAUACUAUGGUAUAUGUCGGUUAAUGCCUAUCCUAAUCAUAUGGGAUACCUACAAGUGUUGGAUACGUUCUAUGAAAUUUAGGUAGUGGUGUGGGAUAUUUUCUAGAUAUUGAACAAUAGGCUUUGAAGAUGUUGGUGAGUGAGUCCCUAGGUCUUCUCCAAAAUCAUUACUUGAAUGUCCUUAUAUGUGAUGAAUGUCUCUUCAAUGAACUAAUGAACGCAAAUACUUAAGUUAGAAAUCAUGAUAAAUGAAUAAGUACUUACAUAGAGUAGUUAAGGUGUUCUCUACUCAUGGUGUGAAAGAGGCAUAGGAAUGGUCACUUUAUGUCUUGCCUAGGUAAGUCUUAUAAAUGACUCUAGAUAGGAAAGUUGGUUGAUUAAGUAGACAUAAUCAAAACUUAAGAAGUCUUAAGGAUUAUUUAGAUAAUCUUGGAGAGGAUGUAUGGUUGUUCUGUUCUUGAAUUACUUAAGUAUGUGUUUUGAUAACCUUUGUGAGGAGAAUGUCAUAUUAUAUUUAUGCUAUUAUAUCAAGUGAGAAUGAUUUUACAAUAGAUAGUCUAAAGGAUAUUAUGUUGUAUGUUUUGUGUAUUGUAAGAGUAUUUAUCUUAUUAUGGGUUGCCCUAAGGAUCUUUUAGGUGUGCUUAGAGAGGGUGUAUGGGUUGUCUCUUUUUGUGUCACUUAAGUGAGUCUCAGGAUAACUUCUAUUAAGAAGGUUGCGUGAUUAAAAGGGUUCACUGUGAAGCUGAAUAAUUUCACUGUAGCAGUUAAUUAAUUAACUAUAACAGUGACAUAGUUCACUUCAACGUACUUAAAUUAUGAUAAAAUGUUUAAGUGUUAAUUUAUGUUUCUAAGGUGUUAAAUGUUAUUAUUAUGAUUAUACGAUGAUGUUUUAAUCAAAGAGAGCGUAUUUCCAUUAAAUGUUCGUUAUCAUGAAAUUUAUGCUUUAUUCCUUACUUCGUAUAUGUGUUUGUACUAACUCCAUACUUUUAUAUAUCUCUAAAGUGAUUAAUAGGUGAAGGUGAUUUUGGGAGUGAAUCUUGGAUUAUAGGUUCUUUCAAGAAUGUUUGAACUAUAUCCUCAUUUUACUCGAGGGCAUAAAUGUCUUUUGAUUUCAUAUUUUGACACAUUUUAUAGGCUUAGUAGUACUAUAUUUCUACUGUAUGGGCGGUGCCCCAAUUAUUCUUGUGUCAAGGAUUUGAUGAUAUGAGACUUAUUAUUUCAUAUGGUUUUAUAUGAAAGAGAUUUUGAAAGACUAUUCGAAUGCAGUGAAUAGUUUUAAUUCCACACUACUUUUAAUAAAUGUAUAUUCAAUGAACUAUAUGAAAUGGAUUGUAGAAGACCUCCGAGAGGUCAAGUACGCCGUGACAUGACCUAAGAAUGACCUAAUUGUUGGGGUCUAGGUGUGGGUCAUAAUGAACGUGGUAUCAUAUGAUAUGUUAUGAAGUGGUCUUAGCAAUCCAAAAGUCUCAUCAAGUCACAUCUAGUAGAGUCUUGAAUAUCGGUGUGAGUCGCGACACAUCUAUGGGAAGAAGGCUAUAGGAUUAUGAAGUUUCCCUUUUUGUCUACUCCUACGUCGUGUCGUAGACAUUUAGAAAUUAUAAAUAUUCUUUUCUUAUGGUUUUUCUUGUGUUAUAGGAGAUGAAUAUAAGGAGGACACCUGCUAGGAGAGUUUAGAGGAAUGAUGUGAAUGGGGAGAUUCCUCCUCAAGAUGAUAAGUUGAGAAUGCUUGUCAUGAUUUUCAAGGGGCUCAAAUUGAUAAAGUCCCUAUUGUGGGUGGAGGUAACGUUGUUCUGGUGGUUCCCCCUGGAAGUUACUAAUGGGGAGAUUAUAGAGUCUUUCUUUGCUUUAGCCUGAUCCUUCAGUAUUCAUGUGAGUAGGGGUAUAGAGCCUCGAGUGAAUAUUGUGGAGAGCAAAAUGACAUAUAUAUUUAGAGAUUUUGUGACGAUUAAUCCUCCUAUCUUUCUUUACUCUAUGGUGGGAGAGGAUCACCAAGAGUUCCUAGAUGGAUUGUAUAAGGAGUGGAGUUCCAUGGGGGUGACUUAUACGGAUAAGGCGAAGUUAGUUUCGUAUGAAUUGGAGGAGGUGUACACUCAAUGGAAAGAUAAUAGGCAAGUUGAGUGGGGUCUUAUUGAGUUGGAGGAAUUUAAAGAGUCUUUCUUAGGAAAGUACUUUUCUCAUGAGAGGAGGGAGGUGAGGUUACAAAAGUUUAUCAAUCUCAAGUAUGGAAAUAUGAAUGUUGAGAAAUACUAUUUGAAAUAAUCUAUGUUCUUUUGAAAUGAUGCAUGCUUAGUGUCUAUCCCUAGGGAUGGGAUCAGUUGUUUUGUGAGCGGGGUCGCUGACCUAGUGAAGGAUGAAUACUACAUGCCCAUGCUCCAUAAUGAUAUGACCUUAUCUUGCAUUAUGGUUUAUUAUCAAUCAAUUGAUGAGUCUAAACUUGGUAAGAUGGAUAGAAACAUGAAUAGGAGUGGGUCAAGUGAUCAAAGUCAACCUAGGUUCAAGCAGAAGGUUUCAUGUCAAGAAGAACUUAGGAGUGCUAAGGUAAAACUUGAGAAGGGUAGUGGUUCUCAAGUUUGUAAGCCUAAAUUUACUUCUUGUGGGAAGAGAAACUAUGGGGAAUACCUAUUGGGUAUCGGAAGGUACUUGGGAUAUGAUAAAUAUGCGCAGAAAGUAAGCGAUUGUCCUACUAGUGAGGGUAAGAAGGUUCCUACAAGUUUUCCGGGAAAUGAUGCUCUAAAGAAGAAUCAUUUUUUUGCACUCUGGACUAGAGGAUCAAGGUCGUAUGAGGGUAAUGAUUAUGAUGGUAAGUUCGUGUAUUUCUCUGUUUAGUGUUAUGAGUGUCUUCAAUGUGGGGUAGUAUGGUGAGUGGUAGAAUGGUAAUUUGUUGUUUCAUCUCUUCUAUUAAUCUCAAGCUUGAGAGUUAGAAAUCCAUAAGAGCAUGUUGCAUACCCAUUGUAUUUAGGAGUCUUGUCGGAAUUGAAUAUCAUUGAUUCCUUUCAUUGUGAAUUUCUUGAAGUUAUGAUUAUCUUGUAUGAGGAGUUUAUAGGGUUUACUUUGCAUAUUGCCAUUUUUCAAUCAUCAAUUACCUAAAUAAUACAUUUUUAGAUUUUUUAACCAUGUUCACUGCAAGGGAAUUUAGCUCACUGUAAUAUUUUUUGAAUUUUGACUAAAUCAUUCAUUGGUUUGAAAUAGUUGUAAUAUUCAUAGAACUGAUGUACAUGAACAUUAUAAUGAAUAUAAUAGGAUUUUUAGUUAUUUGGAAUGAAGGAUCAGAGUUUUAUGGCAUGAUGAGUUGUAGAUUAUUUCUAGCUUCUUGUUGUGUUGUGAAUCUCUUGAUUAUGUUGAAUUGAUAUUUCUUCUAGAUUUUUGUAUAACAUAAUUUUUUAUUUGGUAUGAUUAUGAGCUGUUAUUUGAAUCUCUACUCUUGGAAGUGUUCAAAGAGUGGCAACUGUUAUUCGAGGACGAAUGUUGUCCAAGUGUGGGAGAUUUUAAUACCUCUAGAAUGACUUAGAUGAAACUAGAGAAUAACAUAUUUUUAAUGAGGGUAUAAUAUCCUUAAAUGGUUUUUAAUGUAGUAAUGACGCAGUGUCUAAAUUAUUAGGUGAACUGGAAAUCAAACAUCAAGGGACGACCAGAACAUUUGCCGACAAGUCACCUAUGUGCUUCAUGUGUGUUUAUGUUAUUAUGAGAUUUUCAUGAGAUUAUGAGAUACUUAUAUGACUUAUAAGAGUUUUUAUAGGCAGUAUUUCAAGUUUCAUGAAGUUUUCAGGUUAACAUACAAGAACGUCCAUGACGUUCAAAAGAAAUUCUUUUAAAUGACAUUGUGUGUCUUAGAAUGUAUCAUCGAGUAUUUUGUGUUUGUUUACGAUGAAAAUGAUAUGAGAGGUCAUAAGGUCGUAUAGGAGCAUAUUUGAGUUGGAAACGUCUGGUAAAAAGUCCUUGAGUAUAGACCGAUCUUUGUGGAAAGAAUACGCAAAAUAGUCCCACCUACGGAUGGGAAUAGAUGACCGGUAGCCUGGUCGACAGCCCGUAUGUGGAGGGUGUUGUCCAAUACAUAGAAGUGGGGUGAUGGCCUUCCAAUGAACAGUCUCUUACCGAAAAAAGAGACCAGCAGGACGGUCCGUUGGUUGGGAGACGGUCAGUCGAUCGCCAAGCAUAGUUCAAGCCUUCAACCUAGCAGUUCAUUGUUAAAUGAAAGGGUGAAUUGGUGUCCAAAUAAGUGUUUGGGAGAUUUUCUACGGGUAUUCUAGGUAUUUUAAUAGGGCUUAUAAGUCCUAAUUACCUAGAUAAAUUCAUUAUUCUAAAAUCAAAACCCAAAUUCUCUAAAAAUUUCUCUAGAAUUCUAUUGAAGACAAAACUCAAGAAAGAGCUUUGAUUGAAGAUUUGAUUGGUGAUUACUCAUAAAUUUUAUGAUUUAGACUCAUUGAGGUAUGGUUCUUCAUCCUUGAAAAUUCGUUUCAUCAUGGAGCCAAACUUCAAAUUGAUUUCUAAUGUCUUCUAAAGAAUAACUUUUAAAAUUUUGAUAUCUAUCCAUGGGUUCUUGCAUAAAACAUUUUUAAUAAUUAUAUAUUGAUUGAAAUAUAGUUAAUUAGAUUAUUUAAACCUUAUAAAUCUGUGAAUCCAUGUAAUUCAUGAACAAUAGUUUUUUACUACAUUAUGGGUGACUUGAUUUUGUGUUAAUGCUUAUGAAUUCUAGUGUAGUUUUCAUUGGGCUAUUGAAUAAUGUAAGAAAUUUAUUGAAUUGGUGUAUAAAAUGUAUUAUAUUGAUAAAUCUAUAUUUAAUUUUCCUAGAAUCGUUGAGUAUUAUGAUUUUUGUAUUGAAUUGAUGAUCAUUUCCAUGGGUAACAUCCUUUUGGUUUUGUAAUGGAUGAUUUAGCUAUGGAUUGAAGAGGUAAGAUUCAAUUGGUGGUACUCUUCCCUAAUUAUAUUUAUUGUAUUUAAUUAGGUCUUGAAUUGUGCUAUAACUGUUAUGGUCCACUUAUUGUGGCAGUGGUCUGUGCUUGUGAAUGAUGUGGCCUUGUCUGCGUUACUUUAUCUAUUAUCAUCGCCAUGAAUUUUUCUGAAAUUAAUUGAUGUAUUAUUAUGGUUAUGUAGUUGAUUUUUAUGAAUUAUGAUCAUGUAUAUCUACUUUUGAUUAAGGUGAAUGUAUGUGUUCUUAUAUUAAUGUUGUUAGGUGAUCAUGUUAGACUAUGACUAUGUCUUUAUUGAUGUAGUCAUAGAAUUGAUGCAUCAUUCUUUCUACUUGACUAUAUGUGUCUAUGAUGAUUAUGUUGAUAAUCCUAUAAUAGUGUAUCGGGUGACAUAAAGAUUAACUUGUUGUUCUUAUGUGCUACUUGAAAGAUAUUCUAUAUGUGAAGAUGUGUGUGUUUUGUCUUGGUACACUUGUGUCCCUUACUUAAUGCAUGUAUAAUGAGAAUGUGAAUUCUUGUCAUACGAUGCUGAAGACUCUUAAUAUCGUAUGUAUGAAUGACAUGUGACCUUGAAUGUUUCUAAGAAGAUGCUUUAUGUGGAACCUUCCACCUACAUGUAAGAUUAUGAUAUCCUUGAAGUUAAAAGUCUUAAUGGUAUCCUUCUUAUGUGGAUGGUGGAGUUAAGGUUGGUUGGCUUGAAUGGCAUGAAGUCAUCCUUAGGAAACUCAUUAAGUUAUCCUAUAUAUUGUAGAAAGAAAGCCCUAAGGGACCUCUUUGCUAGGGUUAAUGUAUUGUGUUUUAAAGUAGAUAGGUAACCUCUUCAUGUGAUCCUUUAUAUGAAUUACUAUAUGACAACGAAGGCUACAACAAAGUGAGUAUAAUAAGGGAAAUAGCUCUAGUUACGAAUGAGACUAGAUUUCAAUCAAAUCCUUCAUAUUACUUAACUAUGCGCCUACAUGGAAUGCAUCCAAGUUCUACCAUUCGCAAGUAGAACACCCUCCAUUGGAGUAAAUUACAAUUCUAGAUUCCAUCCUUAACUACUAUGUUCUAUGUCAGUUAUUGACUAUUCUCAUCAUAUGGAAUACCUAGUAGUGUUGCAAAAUUUUUAUGAAGUUUAGGUGGUGGUAUGGGAUGUUAUCUAUACAUUGCACAAUAGGCAUUGAAAAUGUUAGUAAGUGAGUCCCUGGGUUUUUUCCAAGACCAUUACUUGAAUGUCCUUAUAUAUGAUGAAUGUCUCUUAAAUGAACUAAUGAAGGUAAUGACUUAAGUUAUAAAUCAUAUUAAAUGAAUAAGUACCGACCUAGAGUAGUUAAGGGUUGUAUAGUUAAGGUGUGAAGGGGGCAUAGGAAUGGUCACUUUAUUUCUUACCUAGGUAAGUCUUAAGAAUGACACUAGAUCGGAAUAUUUUUUGAUUCAGUUGACAUAAUCUAAAAUUAAGAAGUCUUAAGGAUUACUUAGGUAAUCUUGGCGAGGUUGUAUGGGCAUUCUCUUCUUUAAUUACUUAAGUAAGUCUUUUGAUAACCUUUGUGAGGAGAAUAUUAUAUUCUAUAAGUAUGCUAUUUUAUGAAGUGGGCAUGAUCAUACUAUAGAUACUGUAGAGGAUCUCAUGUUUUGUGUUUGGGUGUAUUGUAAGUGUAUUUAUCUCAUUAUAGGUAGUCUUAGGGAUAAUUUAGGUGUUCAUAUAGAGGUAGUAUGGGUGCUCUCUUUUUCUGAUAUAACUGAGUCUUAGGAUAACUUUUAGUGAGACAGUUGCAUGUUUAAAAAGCUUCACUGUGAAGUUGAAGAAUUUCACUAUAGCGGUGAAUUAAUUCCUUGUAACGGUGACAUAGUUCACUAUAAUGUCCUUAAAAUUGUAAUAAAAUGUUUAGGUGUUAUUGUUUGUCUUCCUAAGGUUUUAAAUCUUGUUAUUAUCCUUAUACUAUGACAUUUUAAUCAAAAAGAGCAUAUUUCCAUUAAAUGUCUGUCAUCAUUAUUUUUAUCCAUGAUGCAAUACUUAGUACAUUUGUUUGUACUAAUUCCAUAAUUUUAUUUGUCACUAAAAUGACUCACAGAAGAAGGUGCUUCUUUGAGUGAAGCUUUGAUUAUAGGAUCUUUCAAGAAAGUUUCAAGUAUGUCCUCAUUUGACAUGAGGGCAACGAUGUCUUUUGAUUUCUUAUUUAGACACAUAGUAAUAGACUUAUUAGAACUAUACUUUUAUUAUAUGGGUCGUGUCCCAAUUAUUCUUGUGUCAACGACUUGAUUAUAUGAGACUUAGUAUUUGGUAAGGUUUUUACAUUAAAGAGAUUUUUAAAGACUAUUCAUAUGUUGUGAAAUAUUUUAAUUUAUCAAUACAUUUCAUAUAUGUAUAUGCGACUAACAAUAGGAAAGGUCUUGUACAAGACAUCUGAAAGGUCAAGUAAGUCGUGUCGUGAAAAGAGAAUUCCCUAAAUUUUAUGGUAUAGGUUCGGGUCAUGACAGGCCAUAGGUCAGUCGACGGUGAAUCUCCCCUUCGUGCUGCAUAUACAUUAUUUUGGUCAGAGAGUUGCCUAAAUGAACACUUUGCCAAAAUUACUAUGUUUCCAUCGACGGUGGCAAUCGACACCAUGUCGAUUGGACCAUGCUUUUUCGCUUGUAAGUUGUUGAUGCCUAUUCUCUCAAGAAAACUUUUAGCUACAAUGCAAGGGUCCUCCUAAAUGACGCUUUGAUUAUUCCUUGGGGAAUCGUACCCAAACAUUUCGACCCUAAACAUACAUAAAAUAAGUAUUGGACCCCCUACCACCAAUUUUCAUCGAAGUCCUACUCAUAAAACCUUGUAAAAUAGGUUAAGGCACACUAGAACCUCUUGAACUAGUUCGAGGAUGUCAUGGAUGUUUUUUGAUGAUUUUAUUCUACACCUUCCUGAAUGACUUAUAUACAUUAUAUAUAACCUUAAAAUAGUGUUACAACCCUUACAACCUCAUGAGAUAUGACUCGUGAAGAAUUUUUUUUGAUGGUUGGGAUGCUAGUAUUAAGAGUUUUGUUGUUAUCCUCAUUAAAAUAUUUAGGUGUCUUUUUGGGAACGAAUGUUCCUAAGGGGGGGAAUAAUGUAACACUCUGAAAGUUCCUUGACUUACUCUAGAGACUCACAUGAUUAAAUAAGCCUUAAAAUAGUGUUUUUAAGCUUAAACAAAGCUAAUAAUGUGAAUUUGUAAGUGUUAGAGUCAAAACGUCAUGAAACGACCAUCACGUCUGGAGAUUUCUCACAAGUGAGCUAGUGUGCGUUGGUGUUUUUCAAAUGGUGUAAAAAUUCAGAAAAAAGUAAUAUUUUGUGAAAAGGUUUAGAAUACAUGUUAAAACAUGUUUAGGGUGGAAAAAUCUGAGUACUACUCCCCAAGGAGCAUCCUAGGGGUCCUUGUGGAGGACCCUACAUUUUGAUCUAAAACUGUCAAAUGGUAGUGUGCCAUUUACAGAGCAAAACAACGAGUCGUGGAUGGAACAAAGGGACGUCGACUGGUCUCAUCGGUUCAUACAUAAGAUCUAAACCAAAAGACUCAAAAUGGAGUUUCUAAACCAAACCAUGUUUGACCUAUACGAUCCGUGGUUUAGUCAAUGGGCCAUCGACGUAGACUCUUCGAUCUACGCAAGUUCACCAUAAAGUUUUAGUUUAAGUUAGACAAAUUAGUUAAUUAGAUUAGUAAUUAUUUCAUUAUUAAGGUUUUUUAAGUCACGAGCCUCAAGUACACCCUAGAAGAUAUGGCAACCCUAAGGUCAGAACAAGGAGUAGUUUACCUUUGGAAGGUCUUGUACUAGCCUUUUACCUAUCAUUCAUUGCAUAAGACAUGAAAAAUAGUGAGGAGUUAAAACAUUUCAUGAUAAAUACUAAUAAUAAGGAAAAUGUCAUUUAUAAAUACUAAGGAUAGUCUCAUUGUCAUAAGAAAACUUAAAGACACGACAUAAUUAUCUUAGGGACACGAUCCUUUAUAUUGAAGGUUGUACAUAAAUAGUGUCAUACAAGACAUAAAGAAGAACUAAAGAAAUAAAGACUAUGCCCUCGAAUAUAUGAGGACAUACAUAGUCUUUAGAGAGUUGAUUCCCAAGCUUGACUUCAAAACAUCUACUUGCCUCAAACCUAUACUAAAAGAGUAUAGAAAAGUAUGGGUUAUUACAAACAUUUUACUAAGUAUGGCAUAUGUGAAAUCAUGCACAAGAGGAUAUUAUAGUACAAAUAAGAUUUCUUGAUAAAUAAAUAAAAAUUCAUGAAUAUAAAAGUAAAACAACAAAUAAGUCAUUAUUUACCAAGUAUAAUAAGAAUUCUACAAUUUUAGCACAAAAGACCACUUUACAGUGAACUUAAACAUUCAAUUCAUAGUGAAUUCAUUAGCUUUGAAGUUUCCUUACCAAGGUUAUCUAGGACUCACUAAGGUAGACAUGAAGGAACCGCCCUCACAACCCCUUCAAUACGCACCUAUGUGAUCAAGACUAGCCAUUAUUGGCUUACUUUGCACCGGUAACAAGACCACAUUCCUUUAACUAGACAUUAGAAAAACAUACUUGCAUUAAGGAACUUCACAUAAAUGCCUUUCUCAAGUUAACUUUCAAAUUACACAAAGUGCAAUGCUAGAGUAGCAUCCCAUACAACUACCCCUAUAAUGUGCUCCUUGAGGAUUCCAUGAGAUUAGGUACAUCACAUUAUUCAUUCAUUAACUUCAUCAUAAAAGACAUAACCUUAACAUGAUUUCUUAAUAUUAGACAUUACAUCACAUAAAGUCAUUUCCAUUACAUGAGUACUCAUUCAUUCAUAGUAUAUAAAUACACACCAAUGUUUCCUUUUAAGUGCCUACUUGUGCAACGUAAUAGAUAGAGUCCAUACCACCUCCAUCGCUGAGUAGGACACUCUUUAGAAGAUCUAGUUCAUCACAUUAUUUUGUGGGGGAUGACUUUAACCAAAAUACACAAUGAUAUCUAGACAUGGAAUUGUUAUAUUAACCCCUUUUAGAUGAGGUAUCCCCACUUUCCUGAGGUAGGCCAUUCAUUAAGCCAUUACAUGGAGUAUCCAAUAACUACACUUAUGUGUGCGGAUAAUUAAAGUAAAAUGGGAUUGCUUGUAAGUAACGCAUUUUCUUGCAUACAAAUACUACUCAUGUCAAGAGGUAUAUAGGGUACAACGUCUCCAAUCACAACGUGUACCCACCGUACAUAAAAUCCUCCCAGUUCUAGGCAUAACUCCCCAAUGGAGUCUUAAUUAUUCAUUACUAUUGGUUAAGGAAUACUUUUUGGAUACACAUCUCUACUCACAAAUGGUAUCCACCCUUCAACCGAUUUUAGAAAGCUCUUGGGAGGAAGUGAGAUUGCUGCUAAACACACUUCUCAACUCACAACAAGUGUUCACCCCAAAACUACCCUUUUCAUUCGUUAGAUUAAUUCAUUCUUAGUGUGAGUGUGUGUAAAUUUGAGCACACCUUUUCGCAUAAUCUCAAUUUCAUCAUAAAUCACACUUAUUAUACUUGACAAUUCACAUAUUUCAUUUAACAUACUCUCUAAAAUAAAUAGAAUUCAAUCUUCAAUAAGCAUAUCAACAUGAACAUAAUCGUAAGUGUUACUUUAAUUUACUUACUAUACCUUCAUGGCCAUAAUAACAAUACACACAUCCGUACAAUAUAAUCAUGAUCUUCAAAUAAACACCGCCAACAAAGGUGGACCAUACCACCAAAAUGUUUUUGACAAUAAGAACUAAUAAACAUAACAAACUUACCAUCACUCAAAACUUUCACCCCCUUUUAAUAAUUCAUUCAAUAAUUAAUCAUAAAAUAACCCUUACUAUAGUAACUAGAAAACAAUAUAACCACCAAGAAACUGUUAGUUUAACAUUUCCUAAUUAUGCUAAUUAAACCCAUUUCAUAAGCUAAAAGUUGAUAAAAAGCACAAGAUGACUCCAUUGGGGUUUUUACAUUAACAUCAUCAUUUAAAACUAAGAACAACUCAUUUUAGUCAUAGUUUUUUUUUUGCAAUGACCCAUAUUUAGUGUCAAGUAAUAAAGAAGUUUGAAGUUUGAAACCCUUUUUGAAAUCUCUUUGAAAUUUCUCCUUAAAUGAAAGAGUGUUUAUGGAUGACUACCAUACCGCAAUACAAAGAACCCUCGAGAUUUAAUGAAGAAAAUUCCAAAAGCCUUCAAUCCUUAUUCAACCUUGAGUUCUAUCUUCAAUGGAGUUUGGGAGAGCUUUUUGGAGAUCAGAAAUUUUGAGAGUUCUGAAAUUUCGAUAUCUAAUUGUGGGUUCGGUGUUUUUUCUUGGGAAAUCGGAUUAUAAUGACCUAAAACCGUCCACAAAUUAACCCCAAAGUUCCCAAAAGAGACCUACACAAAAUGGACCUUUUCCAAAAAUUAAUUUGACUUAAAAACGACCCAUCCAAAUCAUUGACUUGGCAAUGUGUCUCGGACAGAUCUUUUGAUUCUUGAAUCUCAACAUUUUUAGAAGUGAGCCUCAUGUCACUUGUGGACGCACAAGAAACAUUAGUACUAGGCGUGGGACGUGAGGUAGUAUUAAAUUCAUGGCCCUGCAUGCUGCCUUAGGUAGCUUCCUUUCCCAACGUUUGGGUCCUCAUUGUGGGACCCUUAGGGUGCUCCCCAAUGAAUCGUACUCAAACGUUUUGACCCUUGGUAUGUCCCUCUAGGUACUAGGGUAAUACACACUUGUUUUAGAAAUCUAAAACUACCUAAAACAUGCACCCAACUCAAGGACACACUAGCACAUUCAAAGACACAUUUUUCAAAUGUCAUGGAUGUUUUUGGAUGCUUGAUUUCCAAAGUUCACCAACAAACUUCUAUUGCUAAAAUACUUCAUUUUAUGUCAUUAUUAACUUAUGAAACACAUUCUCUUCUCUAGUUCAACCUAUUUCAUUUCGAGGGUGUAAUAUUACUCCACCAAACAUUCGCCAUUGAAUGAAACUUACACACUUUCAAGGACACAACAAGCAGAAUAUCACACAUCACAUCAAGGUGAAGACAAUCAUACUCAAUGAACCAAACACAAAAGGAGCACAAACUUCAUAUCUUCAAGUAUCCUCAAGUAACACAAGAAAUUUGGAACAAGUUCCACAGUUCAAAUCACAUUCAUUUAGUCAUAUAGGGAGGAAAACCUUCAACAACAUUAGUAAUGCAAAUACACAUAACCUCUACAAACGUUGAAACCAUUAUUCAUGAAAAUGCAAUUGAGUCAAAUUUUGAAAUUCUUUGUAAGUGAACACUAAUGCUUCAGAGCAAGACAUACUUAAAAUUAAACCAUUCACCUUUCAAUCAAUUCUAACAUGAAGGCAUGAAACAUGAGAGACAAGACCAUACUAAAUAAUCAUUUAACAUGAACAAAAAAACCAAAGAGAAUUACGACUUAUCAGGACUUCCAUUUUGGAUUGGUCUCCAGUCUCCCUAGAACAAACUGUAUAGAAAUGAUACCCUUUUUUAAAUCAUUUGGAUCCAGACCACCUUUAGGAGAAUGGUUGACCUCUUUGCCCUUUGCCUUGUGGACCGGACAAUCCCUCAUCUUAUGGCCAUAUUACCACACCUAAAUCAAACGUCCGUUCAGGCAAAACACUUAUCCAAAUGUAGCUUCCCACGUGCAGCACACCUAGCUAGACCUCUUUAUACGGUAAAACAUACUUCUUAAAUUAGAUGUAAAGCGUUCGUAUUGAGUAAAGAACCCAACUAAUGAGGUUGGGAUCGUUCCCCGAGGAAAAUAUUUCAGACUUAACUUUAUUCUAUUAUUACUAUUAUUCAUUUAUUUCCCUACAAAACAAAAGAAAAUAAAGGGGGUUUUGAUUCUAAAUUAAUGAAAAUAAUUAACUAUAUUAAUCUAAAAAACUAAAAGAUUUAAAUCUUGGAGCUUAAUCAAUUAAUAAAAGUAACUAGGGCUUAAGUGUUCUCCUAAGGUUCCUAACUUGAUUAUUCUAACUAUUACGAUUCUUUCCUAGUAUCUUGCAUGUAAAGUGAUAAGUUAUGUAUCUCUUAAUCAUUGGUCCGACAUCUAGAAAAUUUCACUCCGCAUCUUGGUCCGGCUACGUGUGUUUCUAUACUAACCCUUACCUUAACCUCAUAUUAUGAAUUGUAUUUAAUAUUUGACUAAAUUAUUUCUUCGUAACAAUCGACACUAGCCUAUUAGAUAGUGUACACUAAAUCUAUGUUCAUAAUUAUUUUCCUAUUAUCUACCUCCUUGGUCUGGCAAGUAGCAUUAAGGCGAGUUCUAACAUUGGCCAUCCGUUAAAAAGACUUCUAAACGAAUGCAUUAUCAAUACAUGCAAAACACCAUUCCAGAAUUACUAUUUUAGUUAGAUUUUACCUCAUUAUUCACCCAUGCUUCCCACAAUCCUAGUUAUGGAUUUUAGUUACCUAUGGUCAUACUCACUCUACUCAUAUAUUUAAUAUAAUAAUUGAUGCACUUACUUUAACGGGAAAGAAUAAAACCCACAAAUUCACUUGAUUAAUUAAUAAAAGCACAAACAAUCAAUUCCAGUAAAAGUGUAACAAUGGCUGAAAUUAAUCAUUAAAUACUUGAGCAAGAGAUCAAAAGAUUAUCCAAAAGUCUAACUAUCAAAAAGUCUAACCCCAAAGACGAGGUUUUUCGAACUAUUUAUAAUAAAACAAAAACCUUAUAAAAGAAGUAUUCAAAUUACUAACAAUUUGUCAAAACGUUUCUGGGUGGAUGGACCUCGGGACGGACCGUCGUGGUCAUGACAGGCUUUCAUGGCUUCUGUAGUCCUAUACUUCACAAAUUCUUCUUCUCCUUUCUUCAUUACCCUCAACGAACAAGUAUGACGGACCAUUCCAAGCACUACGGUUUGUCGAGGGUCUCCGUUCCAUAAUACUUUAACAUCUUGGAAUUUGGGUACUUUGACUCUUCUCUGAUCACUACGAUGAACCAGCAGGACGGACCAUCGUGGCUAUGAUAGUCCAUCGUGGACUUCCGUAAUCCCACACUAGGUCAUACUUCCCUAUCUUCCUUCAACUACUUCUCUCCUUACUAAGAUACCACCUACGGAACGUCACAGGCUCGACGGAACGUCAUAAGCCCCGUAGGUUGUCUCUUCUGCAUUUCUCGCUCAAAAACAUCCAUGUUCAUCUUUGGACAGAUUUCCUGCAAAUAAGGAGAAACUUACAUAAAAUCAAUACUAAAAGGCUUUUGCACACACACUAAACCUAAUGAAAAAGAAUUAAAAUUACCGUGAAACCACGGUACAUCAACACCAUCAACUUAAAUUAGUUGUUUAUCCUCAAGCGAUGCACUAUGACUCGCUACAAAAUCAUUGUACAAGAGUAUCCAUAUUUUAGAUUUUGCAAUCAUUUAGCUAUCAAUACCGAUCAUUCUCAUCAUGUUUAUGCAUAUUCUCACUAAUAGGCUUGAAUAAUGUAGAACCAGACCAUGACAUAGACUCACCACGCACUGACACCUGUCGUCUUCAAUUUAUCACCGAGGUGCUAAUAUUUUCGUAUUGCAACUAGUGUCCUCAAUUCACAACAAAAUCUUCAUUUUUCACACAAUGAUUUCAGUUUGAGUAUAAGAAUUACUUUUCAACACUCACUCUAUGAAAUAUUUCACAACUCAUUCAUACAUAUUUCCAUAAUCUUGCCCUUUUUCUUUUUUACUGUUUUAAAUUCGCCAUACAACUCUUAGGAUAACGAUAGGACUUUCAUAGCUUUUAACAUAGGCUCGAAGUAAGGUAGGGUAUAUUUAGGUAUACUUUAGUGACUUGUUUCACUCCUUGACAUAUUAGUUUAGCGUAUUACAUUUUUAUUAUUUUAUUCUGCCAAUUUUCUUAUAUUCUUUCACCUUGCUAUUUUCCCUUCUUUCUUCAUUUGUGUAAGUGACUCUUUUCUUUUCUUGAUUGUAUUUAUUAUAUUUUUUAUUUCACUUUUAUUUAAACUUGUUCUUGAGUCACUUUACUUUUGUUAUUUCUCUCUCUUUGUUCAUUCAACCCCACUUUCCAAAGCAUUUCUCAUAAUAGCCACCCUUAAACUCAUGGCUUUAUCGUGAGUCAGAGCACACAAUACCAAUGUUUGGUCAGGUCAACGAAAAGGUUGUUUACUGGACUAUCCACUCUCAACUUAUGCUUUUGGCAUAAGUAGAGGUGCACAUGUACAAGGAGGGACCAGAGCCAAUAUAUUAUUCCAAGAAAAGAUCAGUUGGGGUGAAAAAGAAAGGUCUAUUUUAAGCUCAAAUCAUUUGGAUGAAAUAGGGAUUAAUUUCAUUCGGUCUUUUUAUUUAGGCUAAAAAUUUGCUAUAAUGAACAACGGCCUAUGAUCUUUCGUAAUUGUCUAAUACAAUUUACUUUUAACAGGACGAACAAGGCAUGUUCUAUCUCAUUAAAAAUAGUGGACUAUUCAAAUUUUCCUCACACUCACUUGACAUCUCAUUACUCUACCAGAUUAUCAGACACUUACUUCGACCCUUAGACUUAGGGUCAUGCAGUGGAGUAUCUCUAUCUCAUUUUUAUAGCCACACAUUUAUCAAUUACUGUGCCUAGCCAUGCAUCAUUUUCAUUACGUUACAAUAUCAUUUCAGAGUUAUACUAGGUACACAACAUAUAGAUUUGUCGGUUCAACAAUUCAAAAUAAUCAGUCACAUAGAGAAAAAGAACACCGGCAAGAAAACCCCAAAAGAGGAUCGUGAAUUGGGCUACUCAGAAUUAACCAUAGCACUCGCUUUCCAUAUACCCCACCCCCAACAAAAAAAUAUGCAAUUGUCCCCAAUUCAUAAAAAAACAUAAAUCUAAGAGUGGUAGGUGAAGGAAACCUGGGCCAAAAAGCACCGACGAUAAGCAAGCUGGUGGUUCUGGAACCCACUACCUAUGUAGUCAGGACACCCUUAGUAGUGUCCUCAUCAACAACAACAUAUCAGUAGUGCAUACCACUGUCUCAACAUGUUGGAUCUAGAUACCCCAGCAGCUAACUCUACAGCCCUAAUCUGACGCGCCUCCUCAUUAUCAAUCGAGGCUUUCCUUGCAGUACCCAUCUCACGACGCUUCUUCUUCCUUUCCCUAGCCUCAUCCUCCUCUUGACCCCUGCACCUCUUGGCAUGCUCUCGAGUGGGAGGUGAUGGAAUCUCAGAAGUGGCGAAUAAUGCAGCCAACAUUGUGUCCCAUCAGGCUUUGUAGGAGGGGCCUAAGUCUCAGGCACCCUAGCCUCUAUUAUCAUAUCAAUAUCUUCUCGUAGACUGUCAAGUGCAGCCUGAAGGGUUGACACGUCCAUCAGAGGGGCUGCCCGGGCUAGCAUCCGCAAGUCAAAAGAGUCUAAGCGCUGAUGAACCUCAGCGAUCUUCCUCUCUGUGUGUUGUGCCAUCUUACGCUCCAAGCAGUCCUCCACCUCAACAAUAGACCUCUACAUCUUAGGCUUGAUGUGAUGCAGAAGUGUAGCCAUCUGAGCCUCUAGUUUCUGAACCAUGGAGGGCGGGACCAGAGCGGGAUAAGGGGAUGAGCGAGAGGAUCUAGGGGCAGUGCUGCUACCCGGGAUAGACUCGACCAGGGUAGUGUUAGUGCUUGCGGAAGUAGCUUGCAUAGCCGCUUGAGCAUGUAAUACACUAUCAGCCAGAUUCUAACCAAGUGGAGUCACCUCUUGACGGGGCCCUCUGCAUGGUUCCAACUCAUUGGCCUCAUCCCUGAUGAGGCCGAUAUAAAUAGUGCCCUGCGAAGUCUUGAGCGGAUCAAUGUGCCAGAUGGUCACACCUGCGGACCUGCAUAAUGAAAAUAUCAAGCACGGAAAAGGGUAAGUAGUGGUGACCUUGAAAGCCCUUUAGUGCAUAACCUCUUUUAGAUGCAAAGAGAAGUAAACCUCAAACCCUACUAUCAUCGCUGCCAUAAAAAAUGUGCGAUCCCAUUUAUCUUUAUUAUUUGCAGCUGUGGGGGAGAGGCAUUUGCGGACAAUCAACCAUAAAAACAUAGCCAUGAAGGUCAAAAUCACCUUCCUGGUGGCUCCCUUCGACCCCACUACCCAGUCGACACCCUCUCCAUCAACAGAUAAGUGCAGGGCCAUCCACCUCUUGGUGGUCUCUCUCAACGAUGGCUAACGCAUGAAUUGGCCAUCUUUAACAAUUUGUCACUGGUAGACAAACUCGGUGGUGAGAGGGAUCCUGGUGGUAUCAACAUCAUGGCCGUACAGAUACCGAAGGAUGGCUGGUAAGGAGAUGUCACAUGUAUGCCGCGAACUCUGACGUGCUCGAGUGGGGCCUGUUUGGCAAGGGCAGCCUUCCUAUCGAUCUAUUAUCAGAGAGUAGCCACAGAAGAGGCGUAAAACACUCAAACAAACUCCUAACUUUAGCGGCCCGAAGAACGAGUUGUCCACUCUAGCCGGUGUCUAGUGAAGAGAGUGUGGAUAUCUGGCAUGGUGGGGAGAAUUCCCGUAAGGACCCGCCUCUCCAGUGUAAGGGUCCGUGUCAUGACGCCUUUAUCGUUUAGAAAGUUGGUUUCUGAAUACAGUUGGUAUUGUCCAUCGACACACCACCGUUUAGGCAGGUCGGCAACCGAGGCGAGAACACCAGUCUUUGAGCCUGGAGUAGAUUAAGGAUUGUCAGCCUCAUCAUACGAGGAAGACUGUGCAGCCGUGGCGGGUGUAGAGACUUCUGCAGACCCGGAUAACUACUUCGACCAUGAAACUCCUCGUCAGACUGGGAGGCAGUGACUAUGUGGUACGCCACCUUUUUUGGCGUACCUCUAGUUUCAUGUGCAGCUCGUUCUGGAGUUGUAGUGCCUGGGGGCACGUAAUCGGGAUCAUGCUCAUCAUCAGAGCCUAUAACUAGUCGGGCAAACGUGGCGACAGAUUUUGAACGCCCACGUGCGUAAACUCGAUCUUGUUUUAGUUACAUUAGAGAUAGUACUGGUAAAGGAUAAUUAUUAGUAUUAGAAGGAGCAAACAAGAUAAGUAAAACCGAGACAAAAUACACAUACGACCAAAGUUGUAAUGACAUCUCUGUAGUAGAAGUGAAACACGACGGACCAGGUGAUGGCUUGUCAUGAGUAUGCCGAACCGUCAUGGGGUCCAUUAUGUCUUACUUCAACGAUGUAUAUUUGGACACCCCAAAAGGAGAGUCUAUGACAGUUAUGAUGGAUAAGCAUGAUGGACCGUUGUGAUAAUGACAGUCCAUCAUUGAUGUCCGUCGUGGGGCACUUUUAGAAAAAGUAUGGAGACCCUUAGGAGAGGGGUCUCUGACCGUCAUGACGGUUGGGUAGGACGGAACGUCGAGGGUACGAUGCUCCAUCGUAGAUUUCCUUUAGUGUACACUUAGAAAAAAAAUGGAGACCCUUAGGACAAGGUUCUUUAACCGUCAUGAUGGAUAUGCAGGACGAUCCGUCGUGGUAAUGACGGUCCGUCGUAGACGUCCGUCAGAGGAAACUUAGAAGAAGUUGGAGACGCUUAGUACUAGGGUCUCUGACCAUCAUGAUGGUUGUGCUGGACAAACUGUCGAUAUUACGAUGCUCUGUCGUAGAUGUCUGUCUGUGGACGCAUAGAAAAAAAAUUGAGACCCUUAGGACAAGGGUCUCUAAUAACCAUGACGGUUGUGCAGGAUGGACCGAUUUGUUAGUGAAGGUUUGUCUUAGAUGUCCUUCACAGGACACUUGGAAAAAGUUAGAUAUCCUUAGGAAUACGGUCUCUAGCAGCCAGAACAGUUUUGAAGAACGGAUCGUCAUUGCCACGACGGUCUGUUGCAUGUGUCCGUAGGUGGACACUUAAAGAAAAUGAAUAGUGGGGUGUUGGAACAGACCCUAUGGUUGUCCGUCAUGGGUACAAAGGUUUGUCAUCGGAGACUCGUUCUGUCAUUCAGUGACAGAACUAAGGAUGUCGCAAUCUUCCCUUGUGAGUCAAACGUAAUACUAAAUGUUAUGCUACAUGUUUGUAACCCAAAUACCCAGCAAACUAGCAAUGCUAAAGAACCAAUUUCUCGAGUUUUAACAAGGUAAUUUGAGGACUCUCAACCUAGGGCAGUGAAAAUUUGAUCAAAGAACAAAGACCCACCUAAAAGAAAUAGGCUAAUAGUAAUUGAAAAACAAAAAUGCAAUGUAAAUGGGUAAAGAUUAGAGACACAUACUUGAGAAGAGGAGUAAAACAAGAAAGUGCGGCACUUGGUUAUCAAGAGCAGAACCACAACAGCACACUCCCACCAGUAGAAAGAAGAUUUUGGGAAUUCGGUAUUUGGAAAAGUUAUAUGGAUCAGUUGAUAGAGAAGAGGAUGAGAAGGGUAGGAAGUUAGAAAGGGAGGGAAUGGGAGAAAGAGGUAAAGAAACGGUUCAAAUAAAGGGGUGGGGGUGUUAAAGGUUGGAAAAUUUUACAAUUUUCUAGCCGGGUCGGGUCGGGUUGCUGGUUAAUGACGCAAUGAGUCCCCGAUGACGGUCUGUCUCAUAUGCGACGGCCCAUCAUCGGUUCCAUCGUGGGUUCCCUUUUUUUGAAAAUAAAUGAAAAACGUAUUUGGCAUAACGGAUUCAUGUGACGGUCCGUCGCAAGCGUGACUGUCCGGUGAUGUAUCCGUUAGUGAAUGUUGCGGAGUGAUUUUCUGCAGAAUUUCCUGCUGAUGUGCUACCUGCAAAUUUAAAACCCAUUAGUAGAAAAUGCUACCAUUACUAGAAAGAAAACAAUAAGUAUUGGGUUUUCUCCUAAUCAACGCCUGAUUUGACAUCGUGGCACGACUGAAGAAACUUGAUUGCACAGACUUCAUCAAUUUGGUAUGCCUCGAUAACUUCAUUCGCCGAUUCAGCAUUCCCGGAAUAGAUUUUUAUUCGUUGUCCAUUCACCUUAAAACGCACACCCUCCUUGGUUUCCAACUCAACUGCUCCAUGAGGGAAUAGUUUGGUAAUCAAUUAAGGGUCAGUCCAUUUGUACUUGAACUUUCCCGAAAACAAGCGCAACCUAGAAUUGAAUAAAAGAACCAAAUACCAAACCAUAAACUCUCGUUUUUAAAUUUUUAGGUCAUGGUACUUCUUCAUAUUUUCUUUGUAGAGGGAUGAUCUUUCAUAAUCUUUCAGGAUGAAUUCAUUGAGUUCAUUCAACCUAGUUAAUCAUUGUUUUGCAGCUUCGGUCCAAUCCAUUUUGAAUUUCAUUAUAGCCCACAUGGCUUUAUGCUCUAAUUCAACCGGAAAAUGACAAGCUUUCCCAUAUACAAGUUGUUAUGGGGAUAAACCUAUAGGAGUCUUAUACGAUGUCCGGUAGGCCCAAAGAUCAUUAUCAAGCCUCCUUGACCAAUCCGUUCUACUAGCAUUCACUGUUCUUGACAGUGUCUGUUUGAUCUCCCAAUUUGACAUUUCAACUUGUCCAUUAGUUUGAGGAUUGUAAGAAGUGGCCAUAUUAUGGAGAACCCCAUAUUUCUCAAAUAAUCCCUUGAACAAUUUGUUGCAAUAGUGGGAUCUCCCAUCACUAAUAAUUGCCAUUGGGGUAACAAAUCGAGAGAAUAUAUUCUUUUUCGAGAAUGCAGUGACACUCUUCCCUUCAUUAUUUGUGAGGGCGAUAACUUCCACCCAUUUUGAUACAUAAUCAACCGCUACUAAAAUAUAUUUCAUUCCAUUAGAACUCACAAAUGGACCCAUAUAUUCAAUACCCCAAACAUCAAAUAACUCUAUCAGAAUAAUGGUGUUUAGGGGGAGCUCUUCAUUUCCUUAUAUGCUGCCAUCUAUUUCGCAUCUAUAACAUGAUUUAGCAAAGUCAUGAGCAUCUUGAUGAAAAGUUGGCCAAUAAUAACCACAUUGUAAUAUGUUAUGAGCGGUUUGAAUACCACUAUGAUGUCCACUAACGGGUGAGGAAUGGCAUGCCUCUAAAACAUUCAACAUCUCAACUUCUGGCACACAACACCGAAUAAUCCCAUUGAUAGAGCUCCUAUGUAAGUAUAGUUCAUCCCAAAAAAACUUCUUCACAUCGUACAUGAACUUUUUUCUUUGAUGAAAGGAAAAGUCCGAUGGAAUAAUAUCGAUAGACAGAUAGAUCACCAAAUAUAGGAACCAUGGAAUCAAGUUUUGUGAGGCAGCCAAUGCAUGCUCGUUGGGGAAAGUAUCAUCAAUAUCUGUAUUAUUUCCUAACUCUCUUAAAGUUUCAUCUUCGAGACGGGAUAAGUGAUCGGCAACUUGAUUUGCUGUCCCUUUUCUAUCCCUCAACUCAAAGUCAAAUUCUUGUACUAGCGAUACCCAACGAAUCAACCUUGGUUUCAUAUCCUUCUUUGCCACCAAAUAUCUCCAUACUUAAUAUGCACUACAACACUAGUACCUAGCAAAUAGGAGCAAAAGUUUUCAAAAGCAAAGAGUACUGCAAGGACUACUUGCUCAGUAACUAGGUAGUUCUUCUAGGCUUCAUUUAGGGCUUUACUACCAUAGUAAAUGGGGUGAAGGAUUUUGUUCCUUCUUUGUCCUAAUAACGCACCAAGAGCAACCCCACUAGCAUCGCACAUCAAAUCAAAUGGAAUGUUCCAAUCCGGAGAAAUAAUGAUAGGUUCAUACGCCAAUUUUUCUAUUAUCUCGCCGAAUGCUUUACGACAGGAUUCAUCAAAAAAAAAGUACAAUCUUUCUCUAGCAGUUUGCACAACGGAUGUGCAAUUUUUUUAAUAAAUCUUUAAUGAAUCUCGGUUAAAAACAUGCAUGCCCAAGAAAUCUUCUCACUCCUUUUACUGAGAUAGGUUGGCCAAGUCUCUCGAUUACCUCAACUUUAGCUCGAUCAACCUGUAUGCCAUUUUCUGAAAUGCGAUGAUCCAAAACAAUACCUUCUUUAGCCAUGAAGUGGUAUUUUUCCCAAUUAAGUACUAAAUUGCAGUUUUGACAUCUCUUAAGGACCUCAGAUAAAUGUUUCAAAUACAACUCAAAUGAUUCACCAACAACAUAAAAAUCAUUCAUAAAAACUUCAAUUGUAUCUUCCACCAUGUCGAAGAAUAUCCACAUUAUACAUCUCUUAAAUAUGACGGGUGCAUUGCACAACCCAAACGGCAUUUUCUUGAACGCAAAGGUCUAAUAUGGACAAGUAAAGGUUGUUUUCUGUUGAUCUUAUGAUGCAAUAGAAAUCUGAUUAUACCCGGAAUAUCCAUCUAUAAAAAAGUACCACCCUUUUCCAGCAAGUCUAUCCAACAUCUGAUCCAUGAAAGGCAUAAGAAAAUGGCCUUUUUCAGUCCAUGCAUUUAAUUUACGGUAAUCCAUACACACCCUCCAUCCUGUAACUGGUCUCAUUGGAACAAGUUCAUUUUUCUCAUUGGAGACCACACUCAUUCCCCCUUUCUUACGUACACACUGAAUAGGUCAUACCACCCUACUAUCGGUGAUCAGAUAUAUUUCUCCGGCAUCCCACUAUUUAAUGAUUUUCUUCUUCACGACCUAUUUCAUAAGUUUAUUUAAGCGUCUCUGGUGCUCAAUACUGGGUUAUGAUCGGGCAUGAGCUGGAUUUUAUGAGACUAAAUACCGGAAGGGAUCUAAAUAAUGUCCGCAAUAGUCCACCCAAUAGAUAUUUAGAACCUUUUUAGCACUUCCAUCAAACAAUCAACUUGUUGUUCAUUCACGUCUUAUGCAAUGAGUACCGGAAAUGUGUCACCAUUUCCUAAGAAUUCAUAACUGAGAUGAGGUGGGAGAGAUUUUAGUUCUAACUUUUGACCCUCCUCUAUAGAUGGUUUCGCGGGCGGAGAAUCACGAUUCUUCAUGUCUAACUCAUAUUUCUUCGGAUUAAACCGAACAUCACCACGAUCAAUAGACGCGACUAAUGACCAAUACAAUUGAAUUCAAUCGUCGUGAAAAUUCAUUAUUACUGUCGCUAAACCAUCUACACCUAGACGUUCUUCUAUUUGUGCCUUGGAUGACUUACCAACAUUAUAAGAUAUAGCAGAUACCGAUUGGAUAUCACCACUCUUCCUCAAGGACGUACAAAUGUUGAAGGUCACUUCUUCAUUGUUCACCAAAAUUUCAUCUGCCCCUUUUCCUUAUCAACUAAGGCUUGACCCGUAGCAAGGUAUGGCCUACCACGAAUAAUAGGCACUUCAAAAUUGACUUCACCAUCAAGAAUAACAAAAUCUGUCGGAAAUAUGAACGAAUCCACUUUUACUAGCACAACGUGGAGUAUCCCUAUAAGCCUUUUUACUGUUCGAUCGACCAUAAGUAGCCAUAUCGCAGUUGGUUAUGGAACACCCAAACCCAAUUUCUUGUUGAUCGAGAGGGGCGUGAGAUUUAUGCUUGCCCCCAGAUCACAUAAUGCUUUAGCAAAAUGUAAUAACCCGAUUGUAUAUGAAAUAGUGAACGCACCCGAAUCUUCUUUCUUUUGUACCAGAGAUCUAGAUUUUAGCACUACAAUGUUGCAUUCUAUUAUCAUCCUCAAAAGUGACCGAUCUUUUCUUUGUAAGCAGAUCAUUCGUAAACUUGGCAUAAUUACGCACUCCUUUUUAAAACAUCUACCAAAGGGACAUUUAUAGAAAGUUGGUACAACAUUGUUAUAAAACAUUGAUAUUUACAAUCCUCGGUCUUUUUCACUAAUAUUUGAGGAAAUAGGGUGUUGGUGUAGGCAUGGGAGUUACCUUUUUAUGCACUUCAGCAACUUUUGCAGUAUUAUCUUCUACUUCACCACCUCUACCACUUUAUCAUUAUCUUUUACCUCAUUUGUCUCAUUAGACGGCAUAGGUGGGUCAAUGGUUUUCUUACCACCGCGAGUAGUGAUUAGCAUACAGUUUCCAUCAUUUUGGAUUUUGGACAGUAUUGCUAGGAAGAGUGCCCGGUUUCCGUGUGUUCAGAGUCGUAGAUAAUUGGACCAUUUGUAUUCAAGAUGCUUAAUCGAUAUAGCAUGUGUAUCGAAACUCUGCCCAAUACCCACUAAAUCACUCAUUAAAUCUUUAGUCUGAUCAUCAUUAGCAACGAACCUUCUCAUAAUUUGGUGCAACAUAUCGUCAACUCGGUCAAUACUACCUCCACCAUCCCUAAGAGUAACUUCACGAUUUUGAGGAGGAAGAUAGGGACCAUUCCUAUCAUUUCUGUUACCAUAGUUACCCUUGUUGAACUUGUUAUCGCAGUUGUAAUUUCCAUAUUGGACGUAAUGAUCCUCAUGGUUAUGUAUACCAUAGAUCUAACCUUUGUAUCCUUGACCAUGGCGCCAAUUCUCCUGAUUUGAGCCUUGGUCACUCAGUUGGAAACCCCCCGUCUUCUCAUUUACCGCACAGGAAUCAUCCUCAUAACAACAUUCAUCAUUUGGUGGUGGUGGUUUAGAUAAGUAGUUAACUGCAUUUGUCUUUUCUGCACGCCUAGUUACAUGCUUUAAUAUAAACCCAAGCUCAGUUCUCAUCUGACCCAUCUCUUCACGAAUCUCAUCUUUGACUGGGUUAUGUGUGGAUUACAAUAUGAAGGUAUUUCUAGUACUCCAAUAUUAUUAUUCUUGGACAUUUUCUCUAAUUUUUUGGCAAUCUCAGCAUAAGGACAUUCCCAAUAAAAACCAUCCUCUAUAGUAUUCAGUACUGCUUUAUUAUUAUCACUCUGUCCCCGAUAAAAAUAUUCCUUCAGUGACUCAUCAUCUAUGCGGUGAUUAUGAACACUUCUCAAAAAUAAAGUGAAUCUAUCCCAAUAACUACUAACUCACUCUCCUGAUAGUGCCACAAUGUUGUUCACUCUGUCUUUGUGAUUUAGUUUCUUGGGGAACGGGUAGUAACGUGCUAAGAAACCGUCCCUUAGAUUGUUCCAAGUGAAAAUUGAGUUAUAAGAGAGUUCGGUGAACCAAAUAGCAGCCUCUCCGUAAGUGAGAGUGGAAAUACUCUUAGCCCUAUUACAUCUGAAUCCAAUUCAGGCCGCCCUACAAAACUUUUACACACUGCCUUUACCUUAGCUAUAUGGGCAUAUGGGUCCUUAAAAGGUAGCCCUGAAAACAAAACUCUAGCAGUGAGCAUUUGCAUCAUUCUACUAGUUACUACAAAUAUGUGGCCUUGUGGUAGAGGGGGAAAGACUAGUGGUUCAUCAGAGUCUACAAUAUUAUCUUAACCUUUGUAGUAUUCUUGAGGCCGCGGAGCGGGAUUCGUCCCCUUUGUUGAUUUUCACCAGGAUUAUCGGGUAAUAACUGACCAUUAACAUCAACCAGAGCUGGGAUGUUCUUCUUCGGAUCAUCAUCGUUAAUACCAAAGUUUCGAUUCAUAUAGCGUAGUGUGCGCUAAUUUGUGGUCGUAGGGAAACAAGGGUUUUCUUCCUCUACGUGCAUUUGGCGUACAAGGAAUAUAGUUCUGCAAGAAUAAAAAACAAUAGAAAACUAAAAAUAAGAAAAUAUUUACUAAACAUUAGUAAUAAGUUUAAGUUAAUCUAAAAGCUACUUUCUCCGUCAAUGAAGCCAAAAUGUGAUAAGCUCAAACUUACUUCUUAAAUAAGAAGUAAACCGGUGGUAUCAAGUAAAGAACCCAACUAAUAAGGUUGGGAUCGUUCCCACAAGGAUAAUAGUUCAGACUUAACUUUAUUCUAUAAUUACUAUUAUUUAGUCAAUUAGUUCCCUAGAAAACAAAAGAGAAUGAAGGGCUUUUUUUUCUAAAUUAAUGAAAAUAACGAACUCAAUUAAAGCAAAAAAAAACAAAUUCAAAUCUAAGAGCUUAAUCAAUUAAUAAAAGUAACUAGGGCUUAAGUGUUCCCCAGAGGUUCCUAACUUUAUAAUUCAAACUAUAACAAUUCUUUCCUAGUAUCUUGAAUGGAAAGUGAUAAGUUAUGUAUCUCCAAAUCAUUGGUCCGGCAUCUAGAAAAUUUCACUCCGAGCCUUGGUCCAACUACGUGUGUUGCUAUCCUAACCCUUACCUUUACCUCAUAUUAAGCUUUGUAUUAGAUAUUUGACUAAUUUAUUACUUCGUACCAAUCGACACUAGCCUAUUAUAUAGUGUACGCUAAAUCUAUGUUGAUAAUUCUUUUCCUAUUAUCUACCUCCUUAGUUCGGCAAGUAGCAUUAAGGCGAAUUCUAACGUUGAUCAUCCGUUAAAAAGACUUCUAAACGAAGGCAUUAUCAAUACAUGCAAGACACCAUUCUAUAAUUGUUAUUUUAGUUAGAUUUUACCUCAUUAUUCACCCGCGGUCAUAAUAACACUAUUCAUAUAUUUAGUAUAAGAAUUCAUACAUUUACUUUAAUAAGAAAGAAUAAAAUCCUUAAAUUCACUUGAUUAAUCAACACAAGCACCAGCAAUCAAUUCCAAAAAAAGUGUAACAAUUUCUUAAACUAAUCCUUCAAUACUUUAACAAGAGAUCUAAAGAUUAUCAAAAAGUCUAACCGCAAAAACAAGGUUUUUCGAACUAUCUAUAAAAAAAACCUAACUAAAUAAGGAUUCUAAUUACUGAAAAUCAGUCAAAUUGCGUCUCAGUCGACAGACCUCGUGACGGACUGUCGUGGUGACGACGGGCCGUCAUGGCCUUCGUCAUCUCAUACUUCACAAAUUCUUCUGUUGCUUUCUUCUUACCCUUAACAAACAGGUAUGACAGACCGUUCCAAGCACAACCCUGCAUCGAUGGUCUCCGUUCCAUAAUACUUUAACUUCUUGUAAUUUGGGUACUAGGACUACUCACUGAUCAUUACGACGAACCAGCAGGACUAAUCGUCGUGGACUUCCAUAAUCCCACAGUAGGUCAGACUUCUCCAUCUUCUCUACUAACUACGAUGCCACUUACGGACCCUCACAGGCUCGACAGACCGUCAUAAGCUCUGUAGCUGGUCUCUUCUGCAUUUCUCGCUAAAAAACAUCCGCGUUCAUCUUUUGACAGAUUUCCUGAAAAUAAGGAGAGACUUACAUAAAAAUCAAUACAAAAAGUCUUUUUGACACACACUAAAUUUAAGGAAAAAGCAUUAAAAAUACCGUGAAACCCCGGUACAUCACCUCACAAAAGUGUGGCCAUCUCCGUGGAAAUUUUGGUUGGAAACCCUAUACAUGUUCCCUAUGGAAGAUUCUUGAUGAUUGAACCUCUUCUUUGAUGUGGAUUGAUUUGGUUAAUCAACCCUAGGCCUCUUCCAAUCUCUAAACACUUCUCUAAGCUUAGACUCCUCCAUUUGUGGAGCAUAUUCCAUUAUGUAAGAGAUAUCCAUAUAAUUAAGGAGCAUACAAAACAUUAUGCCAUGAAAGGCACUCAUAACAUAAGGAUAAAUGCAACUCGUACCAAAUUACUAUAAACUUUGGUCUCAAGCUUGAAUAAUAAUUGAAGAAAAGAUAAGGAUAUAAACUACCUUAAUAAGUAAACGUACUAUAUUCCCGCUUUAUUAUUAAUCCACACAAGGACUUCAAUCCUAUCAAAAGUACCACUAUGAAAAAUUACCAACACAAUAGGGCAUCCGUAAACUCUUACAAAAUUACCAUAUUUCCUUAAACACUUCUUAAAUUUAAACCUUAAUUCUCUACUAUCAUUGCACAUAACCAUGAGACAACUGAUUCUUUCAAAAAGGGACUUCAUUCAACCAUUAAAACGAUUACCAUGAUUAGCACUACAUUACCAUGCGGUUUCACUUCAUAAUACUCCCAAUAUCAUAAACCACAGUAUGCCAUAAUUGGCAUCACAUCAAAAUAUUUAACACUCACCUCUUGUUCCACUCUUCAAGCCACAAAACCAUCAUAAGCUUCAAAAGUCACAUGUCUCUCCCUUAAACUUAUGCAAAUCACCCCUUCUAAGAAAUCACAUCAAGAAGACCACCAUACAUUGGAAAAUAAUAGAGAGACGUUAUGGAGUUAAAAUCUAUGGAAAGAUACGAGAGUAAUAAAGAAAGUGAAACUCUAUCAUCUUAUAACCUCUCACUCAUGGAUGUCUCAGGACUCACAAAGAUGAAUAAAACUCUACUAGAUGUGGCUUAUGAGUCUUUGGACCCUAAUUAUUUCACAAAAUCUUAAGUUGUGAUACAAAUUUUGUGACGUCCCACAAGUACACAAUAGAAGUUUGGGCAAUCAAUAUGUAGAAAUAAGGCGUACUUGACCUUUCAAAGGCUUGUACUAGCAUCUUAGCUAUCAUUCAUGACAUAUGACAUGAAAAGUAGUGGGGAAUAAAUACUUUUCAUGAAAAAAAUAAUAAAGAAAACAUGUUUUAUAAAUAAUAAGGAUAGUAUAAUCAUCACAAGAAAACUUAGAGACAUGACAUAAUUAUCUUAGCGACACGACCCUUUACAUGAAGGAAAUAUAUAAGUAGUCUUAUAAGAGUAAAGAAGAACUAAAGAACUAAAGACUAUUAUCUCUAAUAUAUGAGGGCAUACUUUGUGUUGUGUGAGUCGAUUCCCAAUCUUGACUUCAAAACAUCCUUUUGCCUCCAACCUAUACAUAUAAAGUAUAGGAGAGUAUGUGUUAGUACAAACAUAGUACUAAGUAUGGCAUAUGUGAAAUCAUUAAAAAGAGGACAUUACAGUAUAAAUAAGAUUUCAUGCUAAAUAAUUAAAACCUUCAUGAAUAUAGAAGUAAAACAACAUUUAAGUCAUUAUUUAGCACAUAGAAUAACACUUACACAAUUUUAGAACAAAGGACCACUUUACAGGGAACUUAAACAUGCGACCUACAGUGAACUUAUUAGCUUUGAAAUUUCAUUAAACAAGGUUAUCCUAAUACCCUCCAAGGCAGACAUGAAUGAACCGCCCAUACCACCCCUUUAAUACGCACCAAAGUGAUCCUUAAGACUACCCAUUAUAGGCUUACUUCACACGGGUAACAAGACCACAUUCCUUUAAAUAGACAUUAGAGAAACAUACUUCAAUUAAGGAACUUCACAUAAGUGUGUUUCUCAAGUUGACUUGCAAGUUACAUAAAGUUCAUGUGAAAGUAGAAUCCCAUACAACUACCCCCACAAUGUUAUCCUUGAGGAUUCCGUGAGAUUAGGUACACACUUCAUUAUUUAUUCAUAAGCUUCAUCAUAAAAUGCAUAACAUUAACAUGAUUUCUUAACAUUCGACAUUACAUCACAUAAUUUCAUUUCCAUUACAUAAAGACUCAUUUAUUCAUUGUAUACAAAGACAUUCCAAGACAUCCCAUUCAAGUGGCUACUCGUGCAAUGAAAUAUAUAACAUCCCAUACCACCACAAUGCCUAUGUAAUACAAUCUUUAGAAGAUCUAGUUCAUUACAUUAUUUUGCACGGGAUGACUUUUACUGAUAUAGAGCAUGAGGGCUAGACAUGGAAUCAAAAUAUUAACCCUAUCAGAUGAGGGAUCCCCACUUUCCCAAGGUAGGGUCAUUCUUUUCGUUUUUACAUGGAAUCUCCAAUAGCUACACCUAUUCGGGCGCAUAGUUAUGGGAUAAGGAUAUUGUUUCUAAGAAACACAUUCUCUUUCUAAUGAAAAGAACUUAUCUCAAGAGGUACAUAGGGUACAAUAUCUCUACUCACAACGUAUACCCGCCCCUUCUUUAAAUCCUUUCGGUGCUAAGCAUAACUCCCCCUCAAAGUCUUAAACAUUCAUUACUAUAGGUUAAGGAAUACUUUUUGGAUAUGACAUAUCUAUUCAGAGUUGGUAUCCAUCCUUUACCCUAUCUUAGAAAGUUCUUUGGCGAUAGUGAGGUUGCUACUAAAAACAUCAUCUCAACUCGCAACGAGUGUUCACCCCAAAACUCCCAUUUUCAUUCGUUAGCUUCAAUCAUUCAUAACGUGAGAGUGUGUACAUGUGAGCACACCUUUCACAUAAUUACCAUAUCAUAACAUCUACUUCUAAACAUGCUAGAAUCUUCAUUCAUCAUAAUUCAGACUUAACAUACUUCACACUUUCACAUAAUUUAUUUGACAUAAUCUUAUUCAAUACAUACAUUCAAGCUUUAUUAAGCAUAUCCACAUUAACAUCAUCAUAAUCGUCAAUUUACUUCACAUAUUAUGCCUUAAUGGCCAAAGUCACAACACACACAUCCAUACAAUACAAUCAUGAGCUUCAACUUAAUGCCACCACUAAAGUUUGACCAUACCACUCAAGAGCAUUUUACAAUAAUAACUAAACAACAUAACAAACUUACCAUGCAUCCAUGGUUUAACCCCCUAUUCACAAUUCUUCUAAUAAGUGAUCAUAAAAUAUACUUUUGUGCAGAAGCUAAAACACAAUAUAUGUGACAACCCCAAAAAAACCAUGUUAAGUAUAACCUAAGCGUACCUAGAAUGCAUAGGUUAGACCGGGUUCACCCGCUUGAUGCGCGUGGAACCAGACCCCUGGACCUUUGCACCAGCAAAGCAAACCAACUUGGUGAGUUUUUUAGGCUAGUCAGGGAUGGUUUCGUCCAUGUUAGGUCCUUGAAAACUAGGAUUCACCAAGGUGAGUCUUAACCGGACUUAGAGGGUUAGUCCUAGGUUUUAAGGGUUCUAUGAGUAAAAAUGUAAUUUCGAGGAUAGGGGUAUUAUAGUAAUUACCCUAGGUUGAUAUCUAAUUAAUUAAAUAAGGUUUUUAAUUGGUAAAAAUGGGUUAAAGCUCGGUGGCCGAACUCGAGUUCGACCGGAUCUCCAUACUCGAGUUCAAUACGAGUUGGAGGAACUAAGUUGGCGAUUUAAGUGAUUUAAAUUAGACAAAAAAUAAGGAGAGGCCUUAUAGUAACUUAACAUGUGGAUAAUAAUCUGAUUUUAUCAUUUAAAUUGAGUUGAAUAAGUCAACAACAAACUCCCAAGGAAAGAGGCACAUGGCUCCCGCUAGGAGUGUACUCAAUGUGCACUCUUAAUUUAUUAUCUCUUCAUAAAACAUUUUUCAGCUUUACUUUGUAAUUCAAAAUCAGAAAAAUAAACCUACUGUUCUAUUAAGUUCUUGAAUUCAUCCAUCAAAACCAAAAAUAAAAGUUGUACCCCAUAGUGUUUUAAAAAAUCACGUAAAUAACUUUAAUUGUGAACAAGAAUCAUGGCUCAGAAUAGAGGUUUGUGUUUUGGUUAGGAUGUGUGGUUGUGGCUGGUUUUCAAAGUUGAAAAAGGUAUGAAUUUUAUUCUAUCUUGGUCCGUUUCCGAAGAGUUCCGUGAGCUUCCAUACGCACUCCAAUCGAAAAACUAAGGUUGCCCCCCUUGCAUGCCCCUAUCAUUAGAUCCUCAGAAAAGUUGAUGCAUGCGUUGGUAUAUUUGCUGGUAGACAAUUUUAGGAACGUUUGUGAUUUGUGCAAUAUGAUGUUGUUUGGAAGAGUAUGAUCAUAUUAUGUGUUUCUGAUUGUAUUUCUGUUUUGUGUACAAGAUUAUGCUAAUGCCAAGAGAAUGCAUAAAACGCAUUGUUUUCAAGAACAUGGUGAAUUAUGUUAUAUGUAAUUGUCGAGUUAUUAACAUGUGAUGAUGAAACUGUGAUGUUCAUGAAAAGUAAGUGAAACUAAUGAUCUCAAAUGAAAUACUGUUUGCCGAAUUAAAAUGAGUCUAAGACUCUCGGCCAUGUACACAAAUUCACAAAAAGAAAUGGUACGGAUAUAUGGACAUAAGUUUAGGCUAAAGUAUUGGUUAAAGUUGACAUAAAAAUCUAAACCAAAUUUUAUAGACUAAGAUGUAAUAAAAUGAACUCAAAGACGUAAUACUAAUUAGAGAAGACUAGGAUAAAUUCAAAUAAAGAAAAUUCUACACUUAGGAAUCGAACCUGAGAACUUAAGUUAUUCACACUAGAUGAAGAGGUCUUGAGUAAAUUAAAAGAAGAUAAUGUUGUGCGUAUGAUGAGAAUCAAACCCUUCAUCAAGGCCAAAAGUGUGAGAUGCAUAAUCCUCACAUAUAAUAAAAAAUAUAUGAUGCCCAAGGGAUACGAACACGGAUCCCUUUUACCGAAAUUGUGAGUCACAUAAGUCUUACAUAUAAUAAAAUAAAACCCAGCCACUAGGGAUCGAACUCGGUUUCCUUGGAUGAAACUACAAGAUGUGUAAGGCUUGCACAAUAAGCACUUAGAUGAUCAUUACACAUAGCCAAAUAUGAUUAAAGCCUCUUGGCUUGUGCAUGUGGAAGGAUACGUCCACCGUACAUUUUCAAGGUGAGUGAACCUAAGCCACAAGUAAGAGAGGCACGGGUAAGAAGUGAUUUAAAUGCCUAGUUUCAUAUCAAAAGUAAAUCUCAGACCACUUAAAUCUCGAAAUUAAGCCCUAUAUAUGAGGUAACCCGAAAGGGGUACUACUAUCGGUGUAUAGUACACUAAAGGCCAUGUGCAUGGCAUAUGAUGUAAGCUUAUGGCAUGAUGAAGAAUCGAACAUUAACAUAAUUAGAUGAGUAAUUAUGUUAAACUAUGAUGUCAAUGAAAAUUGUGAUUACAUGAUAACAGGCUAAGAAUAAUUGUGAGACAACUCUCUACAAAGCCUAUACAAUGGACACCAAAUGUAUUAACCUAAGAGAGUGUUGAACAUUAAGAGACAAGUCUCAGUCACAUUCUAUAUGUAAGUGUCAAGAAAAUUCACACUUAAUACGUAAAAAAGAUAUGAUAAAUCAUCUAAUGAGCUAUGACUACCUCAUUCGAAGAAGCAAGAUUCGAUGACGUAUAAUUUAAAUAUAAAUAGGAACGUGAAACUUAGAACCCAUAGACUACCUAUGAGUGAUGAUGCCUUCUUUCAGGAAGGGCGGAGGUUCACAUAAAUAUCAUGAGAUGAGAAUCUCCACCAUGGUGGGUACGGGUCUCCCUAAAUCUCCUAGUCCUUUAACUAUGUUGCCACCAUAGGAAAAUAGCUUGGUUCGAAUCCCUAAAGCUAGCAUCUUUUUGGUUUCACUUUGGCCAGUGACUCCACCUCUUUUCGGUGUUGGUGAGACGUCGGAUUUCAUGAUUCUCACAUGAUGUAUGUUUGUUAAGGUUGAAAAUCCUAAAAGUAUGAAAGACAAUGAAAUGAAUGAUACCGAAGGUGUUUGUGCAGGACAAUCAAGAGGUGAACCAGACACAAGUAAUGACAUUAUGUCAUUCUUGGUCAUUGCACUUCAUGAUCCCGAUGAGAGUCUUAAACUUCAUCCUAGGUAUAGCGUAUGUUUACAUAAGCCUAUGAAUGAAUGAAAUGAAUUAUGCAAUGUAUGAAUGAAUGAAUGAAGCAGACUUUGUCUUUUCUAAAAGAAUCCCUCGGGUUGAGGUCCCAUAUUUUUGGCCCUCACAUGAGAUGUCUUAAUGCUACAUCCAUAAUUCCAAGGUCUCAUGGAUAUGAAAUGUAUGAUAUUUGAAACGUGAAAUGUAUUAUACGUGAACCUACGUAUGUAUGAUAUGUGAUAUAUUCAUAGCAUGACCUUCCUUUUACGAAUUAGCCAAGUCAAGAGACUUUACCUUAUAAGGAAGCAUGUUGAUUGGGAAGAGCCCUUCUUUUUCAUGAACUACUACUAUGUGUUGCUGCAUGUAUCCAUACUUAGUUCAAGUUUGUACUAAUGCCAUUCAAUAUUACUAUUUUAUAGGUGCUGGUUAGACGACAUAUUGAAGACUCUUGCGGCGGUUUGGACAUCAGUGUUAUCAAGACUAUUUGGUAGGUCCUCUUGAUUUUGAAGAUGCUACAGUAUUUAAUAUGACCUUAGUAUUAGACAUAGCUAGUGGAUGUUGUCCCUAGUGUUACUUUCAUACUUUAUUUUUGAAGUUUUUGGAUGUAAGUCCGUUUUUGCAACUUAUUAUAAUAUAUUCAUCUUUUAUUUUGAAUUUGUUCUGUAAUGACAGGUGCUUGUUCUUUAUGUUGCGCUUAGUGUAUGAUGUUUUACGUAAAAAAUAUAUGAAAUCUAAGUACACUUCAUUAAUUUAAAAGUUUAAAAUUUUGUGGUAAAAUUAACCAUAUGGAUGUGAUGAAUGCAAGAAGAGGCUUGUGUGCGACCUCUGAGAGGUCAAUGACGCCUGCGGCGGUUCGGAUUGUAGAAUCUGGGUAAUUACAAUAUAAACAUCAAGAAACUAUAACUUUAACAUUUCCUAAUCAUUCUCAUUAUACCCACUUGAUAAGCUUAAAGUUUAAAAAGGAAUAAACAAGAUUAUAUUUGGGUUUUGACAUUAAAAUCAUCAUUUAAAACUAAGAAAAACUCCUUUCAAUAAUUAAAACAUUUUUCGUGCAAAGACCCAUACUUAGAGUAAAGAAAUAAAAAAGUUUGAUUAUUGAAACCCUUUUUGGAAUCUGUUUGAAAUAGAUCGUUGAAUGAAUUAGGGAUCAAGGAUUACUACCAUACCUAUUCAAAGAAACACAUAAAAGUUUGAUAAAAAAACAUCCAAAACCUUCAACACUAGCUUAACCUUGAUUUCUAGCUUCGAUGGAGUGUAGGAGAGUUUUUGGGAGAGAAGAAAUUUUUGGAGUCUUUAAAUUUUGAUUUAUAAUUGAGGAUUUGGUGUUUUUUGUUGGGGAAUAGGUGUAUAAUGACCUAAAACCGUCCACGAAUAAUCCCCAAAGUUUUCAAAAGAUCCCUUCACUAAGUGGAUCAUUUUCCAGAGUCUAAUUUGACAUAGAACGUCGCGGACGAAUCUUGGACUUGGAUUCAAAUCUCGGAGGGAUCUUUUGUUUCUUUAAUCUAAUAAUUUAUUGGCAAUGAUCCUCAUGUAACUUGCGUAAUGAACAGGCAGCUUCAGUGCCAGUCACGCGACGCGAGGUGGGCUUCAACUUUUUUGUUUGUACGCUGCCUUAGGCAACUUCCUUGCCCAACGUUUUUGUCCUUCUUUGGGACCCUUAGGGUGGUAACCGAUGAGUCGUACUUAAACUUUUGACCCCUGAUAUGUCUCAAUAGGUACUAGGGUCAUCCCCUCUCGUUGUAUACACCAAAAAAAACUAAAAACAUGCUCCAAAAUCAAGGAUACAGUAGAACAUUCAAAGGCAUAUUUUCCGAAAGCCAUGGAUCUUCUUGGACGCUUGUAUUCCUAAGUUCACCAACUGACUUCUAAUGCUAAAAUGCAUCAUUUUAACUCAUUAUUAACUUAUGAAACACAUUUGAAGCUCUAGUUCAACUUAGUUCAUAUCGAGGGUGUAACUUGUUAAUUAAGUUAGUUGGGGACGAUAAAAGUAUUAGACUUCAUUUAACUAACCCAACACGUCAUUAUUUCCCAAACCUAAUUCACUCACCGUUCUCUCUACUUUCUAUUACUACCCAAAGAUACCAAUUGAAUACCAAGGUUCUAGCAUUAUUAGGGCUUCAAGAUUAAAAUUUUCUUCCACUAUUGUACAAGAACUGUUAAGGUAUGGAAGUUACUCACUCUUGGGACUCCAUUCCUCGAGAGGUUUUUCAAUGUUUGGUUUUAAAGGAUGUCUAGAAUUAUGGUUUUCAUAAUAUUCGUAGGUUAUCCUUCAAAUUGGUUUAAUGUUGUAUUUAUUAUCUACAUUAACAGAUUAUGAUUGUUUAAUGGUGGAUUGAUGUAGUUUCUUAAUCUUUGACCUAGUUACUAUAAAAGAUCCUUGAAUGACCCCUUUCCCUUAACCCUAACUGUUAAUUAGGCUUAGAGAUGACUAGGGAUAUUAAAAGUUGAUAUGUAGUUACUUCAACUACUUUUAUGUAUAUGAUGGUGUUUGAUUUACUGGAUGAAUAUGGUGGCAUUGAGGGUAUGAUCUUGAAGGAGAUUUUUGGAAGCCAUAAGGUAGACUUUUGAGAUUAUGAUUUCUGUACUUCAAUUUUUUUGGUCAAUUCUUAAUGAUGAUGUUCACUUGAAGUAUGAUUAUGCCAAUAGAAUAGGAAGAUCAUGAGCUGAUGAAUAUGACGACAUAUAAGGAAUAUGUGAAUGUGAGAUCUUGAUAUGGGUAUGGCCAAUUAAGGCUAGUAUUAUGUGUCUUAUUAUGGUAUUACUAUGAUGUGACGAUCUCACUAAAUGAUGAGUUGUGAUGAAAGUAAGUUCUGAUUCUAUACAUACAGAUCUAUGAUCAUGAAUAUACAAGGGGUUAGUACCUAAGGACUAUAUUGUAAACUAAUGAUUAAAAAUAACUUAAAGAUAUUUCAAAAAGGGACAUUAUCUUACCACCGAGCAAAGAAUAUAUGAUUGGUGGCCCUUCCCCAUGAAGGAAGGUAGGUUCACAAUGGCUCUCAUGAUAAGGAGACUAUCAUGCAAAUGUGCAUACAUGAGUUUGUAGAGAAUCUCCUAUUUCCUUAACUAUGUGCCCCUACAGGAAAAGUAACUAGUUAAUACGCCUAGAAUGAUAUGUUACUGUAUGAUUCUACCUUGGAAAGUAUAGAACCUUCUUUUGGUGUAGAUUACAUGACACUGGAUUCCAUGUUGUAACAACCCUAAAAAUGGAUAUGCUAAGUAGUGCUUAAUGUGUCUAGAAUGCCAACGAUUAGACUGGGUUCACACGGAAUGAUUCACGUAGAACCAGACCCAGAAACCUUGCUACAUACAAGAGAACUAACUUGAGGAGUUAUUUGAGAUAAUAAAGGUUAGGACCAACCAUGUAGGACUCUCGAAUAUGAAGAUUUACUUGAAGGAGUCUUUACUGGAUUGGAAAAGAGGAAAUCUUAAGUUUGGAGGGUCUAGGGGUAAAAUGGUCUUUUACUAGGCUAAGGGUAGUAUCGUAAUUAUCCUAAUUAAUUAAUUAAUUAAUUAAUUAAUAGGGUGGAGGGGCAUUUUGGGAAGAGAGGGCCGAAAUUGGGCUUUUGAAGUGAAGUCUUACUCCAAUUGGGUUCUAACAUAUGUGGAAGCAAUGAAUUAAAUUGUUUUUAAUUUACGUUGAAUAAUUAAUGUUAUUAAUUUAUAUUUAUUAUUUAUUAUCUGAUUUAAAAUAAAAGUAAAUCAUAAUUUUAAUAAUUAAAUAAAACCUUAUUUGACUAAGUCCUAAACUAUACUUCUAAGCCUAAGAAAACUCUUCUCUCCCACGCUUAUCUCUCUCUCUCUCUCACGUCUCUAUCACUCUCACUCAAGUUUUUCUCUGCCAAAUAACGUACAAAAACAGUAGGUAAACCAAAGUUCUUCACACUUGAAAAACACACGUUAGGCAAAGAGAGGGUUUUUCCAUCAAGUCUCUGUUGAAGCUCUUGGAUUUGGACGUGUGUUUGGAGCGGUUCUUUGGGCACCAAGUAGAGGUUUGAAUGUAAAAAAGGUAUGGCUUCUCUUCUCUCACGGUCCCUUAGAGAGACCCCUUAAGGUUCAUAAUAUUCAUUCCGAAAACUAGGAUUGUUCCCCGUUGCAUGUCCAUGUCACUAGCUCUCAUUGAAUCAUAGGUUGGUUAUGUUUGCUGGUAGAAAACAAGGGAUCAAAGGUGUUUUUGUGAGGAUUAUAUGUUUAUACGUUUGUUUGGAAUUAUGUGACUUAUGUUGAUGUUUCCAAAAAUUGUAACUACGUGUUUAAGUGCGUGUUGUCGUGGCUAUUGUUCAUGGUUUAGGACUUGAAAUUACAUGAUAGUUCUUAAUAUUCCAUGAACACAUGUUGAUGUAAAUGUGAUGUUCAUAUGAGUUGAAAUGUGGUUGUUUUGAGGGAUAAUAUCUUAGAUAACAAAUACAUGAAGACGCACCUAAAAUUCAAAAAAUGCACUACGAAAUUCCUCGAAAAACUAUGGUGUAACUUGAAGAAAGGAUGCUGAAAAAUUAAAAGAAAAUUUCCAGAUUCUAUUGAUUAAUUUCGUUCAGCAAAGAGAGUUCAAAAUGUUGAAAAAAAUGAUUUAAAACAACUGAGGUCAUGGAGGAAUGAACCUGUGACUUCACCAAGUAAAGAACCAUGAAAAUAAAGAAGUAAAAAUAAAAUGUGGAGAGUGGGGAUUGAACCCACAACCUCUUGAAUGAAUGAGAGACUUAGGAGGAAAAUAAACGAUAAAAUAAAAUGUGGAGAGUGGGAAUUGAACCCACAACCUUUUGAAUGGAUGAGAGAGUAAGGAGGAAAAUAAAGGAGAAAAUAAAAUGUGGAGGGUGGGGAUUGUACCGACAACCUCUUGAAUGAAUGAGAGAGUUAGUAAAAAAUUAAUGGAGGAAAUAAAAUGUGGAGUGGGGAUUGAACCCAUAACCUCUUUAAUAGAUAAGAGAGUUAAAAGUAAAAUAAUGGAGAAAAUAAACGUGGAGAGUGGGAAUUGAACCCACAACCUCUUGGAUAGGUGAGAAAUUUAAGAAAUAAAUAAAAAAAAAAAUACUGAGCAUGUGGGGGAUUGAACCCACAACCUCCUUUCCUUAAAAUGAAAAAGGGGAGGACAAUAAGAAAGAAACAUUAUGGGGUUGAUGGGAAUUGAACUAGGGUCUCCCGAAUAUGAAAAAUGCAAUUAUCAAAGUAUAAAAUAAGACUAAGUGUUGUUUAAAGGGUUUCAAAAUCAGGUUUCCUUGUCCAAUUCUGUAUUGACAUAUAAGUCAUACGUACACAAAUAUUUAAUGAAAGCUGCCUCUAAAGAUCAAAUCAAUAGACUGUCAUAUCUACAAGAUGUGUAAGUCUUGUACCACAUAAUCUUUGGUAAACAUGAAUCACUUAGACAAACAUGAAUGAAGUCUCAUGGCUUGUAUUUGUUGACUCAUCAGUCUAGAUAAGCUUAAAAGUAAGUGGACCUAAGAUGUAUGUGAUGAAAUGAUGUAAAUGGCCAACUACAUCAUGUAAAGGGGUGAGUAAAUAUGAAGAGCAAUUAUGCUAAAGUUAAUCAAUGUGGUGACAACAUGAUAAGAGGCUAAUGUGAAAGAUGUGAGCAAUCUCAAAUGAGACUAAGUAAAUAUUACCAAAAUGUACUCACCUAUGAGAGUGUAAAGUUAAUGAAGAUAUCAGUCUCUAUGACUAGUCUAAUGAAAGUAUUGAAGUUAAUGCAUACUCAAUACUAAUGAUUAGAUGAGAAAUCAUCUAAUGAGCUAUGAUGUCCUCAUACUAGAAGCCAGCUUCCAUGACGUAAGAUUUGAAUGUAAUGAAACUUUAUACUAAGCACCACUGUACUAACUAUGAGCGAGAUGCCUUCUUUUGGGAAGGGUGGAGGUUCACGUAACAAUCAUGAGUUGAGACUGUCCAGCAUGCCGGGUAUGGAUCUCCUUAUAUAUCCUAGUAUUCGAACUUAUACUGCAAAUAUAGACAUCUUCAGUUCAAUCCCUUUGUAUGCUAGCAUGUUUUGAGUCACUUUGGCCGGUGAUUCCACCUAUUUUUGUUGUAGGUUUUGAUGACACUGGAUUUCAUGAUGCUCACAUGAUCUAUGUCAGUUAAAGUUAAAGUUUCCAAUUAAUGAAUGAGGCCAACCUCAAAUGAUGCACAUAAUGAAACGAAUGAUACCAAAGUUGUUACGAUAAGAUAAUAAGGGUGUGAGUUAGAUUCCAAUAAUGACAUUAGGUCAUUCUUUGUCAUUGCACAACGAACCCGAUGAAAGUCUUAAACUACAUCCUAGGUAUUGUUGGUGUUUACACUAGCCCAUGAAUAAAAUGAAAUAAAGUACAUAUGAAUGAACGAAGUAGACUAUGUAUUUGGUAAAGUAGACUCCCUAGUUGAGGUCCCAUAUGUUUAGCCCUCAUUUUUGAGAAGUCAUAAUGUCAAUUCCAUUAUUCCACGGUCUCAUGGCAUACAAAUGAAUGAUAUGAAAAACAUUAUGUGUUAUAGGAAUUAUGAUAUAUGCUAUGUGUACACUUAAUGUGUUAUGUGCAAAAUGUUAAGUCUGAUGAUGCAUGUUAAUCUCGUGGCAUAACUUUCCUAAUCCAAAUUUUGAAUGCUCAUAAACAUUCCUAAUUUAAAUUUAGAAAGCUUACUCACUUUUCUAAUCUCAAUUUGGCAAGUCCACUUACUUGACCUUCUAUUGUUAUGUUGUUAGGGAACAACUAUUCUUACUUAUUCAUGUCCCUGGUGUGUGCUUGAAUAUACCCAUACUCAGUAAAAGUGUGUACUAUCUCUAUAGAACUCUAAACUCUUAGGUGCAGGCACAGUUGGACGCUAGAGCUACAGACUCAACGUUGCAACUAUCCAGACGUCGAGCAUCAUACGAACUUGGUAGGCACUCAUUCUUUUGAGGAUGCUUUCCCAUUAACGUUCUAUCUUAGUUUUAGGAUUGAGCUAGUGGAGUAUGUUCCACUAGCGUUUCAUUCCCAUUUUGUUCAGACAUUGUAUUAGUGCCGUUUUGGUAGUUACAUCUUUAUGGUUAUAAUAAACUGUUUCUUUCAUGUGAUGAUCUUAACGUUAUAUGGUUGAUGGUGAAAAAUUACCUAUGCAGUAGAAUGUUCAGUAAGCAUGUUAACAAACAAAAAGUUUCAAAUUUCCCGCUAUAUUAACUUAGAUGAAGUAAGAAUGACGAAUGUAAGCUUGUCUGCAACCUUUUAGAGGUCAACAACGCCGGUCUCACCUGGGGUCUUGAUUCCAGUUGUGACAAAGUUUGUAAUAGAUCUCUAGGUUAAAUUAUGAGGAUAAUAAUUUCACAUCAACCACAUCGAGUAGUUUCCAAGUCAUGGUAGUGAAGUGCACCACUAUCUUGGAUUAGAGAAUGCAUGAUCUGUAGGAAAAUUUGCCUUCUUCUAAUCUUCUCGUGAUUCUCUUAUGUCAUAUUUCUUUGUGUUAAGAGCGUAUAUAACAUCAACUCUUGAAGUUUCCAAAAUAUGAAUACAAGGUAAAAAACAGACGGGGAGAUUGGAGGAGCGGCUAGUGGGGUAAUUUAACAUUCUCCCUAGGCUCUAUCUGCUGGAAUAGAGAUGCCUGUUAACUUAGCUGGGUUGACAGAUAGAGAAUUAAGGACAUCUUUGGUACAGAUGGACCAAGAUAUCACUUUAGAAGCUCGGGAUAUUGGAUUGUAUUGAUGUGGAGAAGUCUGAGUUGACAUCCUACUAGCUAAAAGAUGUAGCUCAAUCCUGGUAUAAGGUGUGGCAAGAUAGCAGUGCCUUCAGAUAGGGUCCUAUACUUGGGAUAUUUUCAAGAUGGCUUUUCUAGGGAGGUUCUUUCCAAGCUAAAUGAUGGAGGCUAAGGUUGAGGAAUUUAUCAACCUUAAGCAGCGAUCGAUGUCAGUCAGGGAUUACUCCCUGAGGUUUGUAAGACUUUACAGCCCAGGAGAGGCGACCUUGUUGUAUGUGUGGCAUACUACAUUGGGGAGUAUGUAUUAUGGACUCUAACGCUUGUUACUAUUGUGGCAAACCGGGUCACAUGAUGAAGGAUUGUCCGACUAGGAGAAGUCAAGAACAGGGGAAGGAGAGAGUUCAACCAAAUGGUCAAAGUGAAGAGGCUACAUGGAGGAAAUUAUUCUUCGCACUCAAGUUUAGGGGUAAAGGGGAAGUCACCUCUGAUGAAGUCUCGGGUGCGUAGCCUUAAUUAGUUUUUCAUGUGUUUGACUGUGUAUGGUGUUUAUGCACUAGUAUUAGGUUAAUAUAUUUGAGUCAUCAUGUUGGUUGCUGAUUUUUAUGACUUACAUGUUUAGUUAUGUUGUAUGCUUUGAUGAGACUAAUGUACUAAAGAGUUCCUAAGUCUAUUUGACUGAAGCUACUAGUAAGUUUCAAGGAUGUCUACCAUCAUGGUAAUAUGUAAAUAACAUAUUCACUUAUUGGGAGUAUUGAAUUACCUAUGUAUGCAUGCAUUCUAUAGAUGACUUACUUAUUCUUAAUAAAGAGUAUUUUCAUUCGGGGACGAAUGUUCCUAUGCUGGGAUAAUGUAACAACCCUAAAAAUGGAUAUGCUAAGUAGUUCUUAAUGUGUCUAGAAUGCCAACGAUUAGACCGGGUUUACAAGGAAUGAUGCGCGUAAAACCAGACCUCAGAACCCUUGCUACAUCAAGAAAAGAAACUUGGGGAGUUAGUUGAGCUAGGAAAGGUUGUGUCCAACCAUGUAGGACUCUCGAAUACAAAGAUUUACUUGAAGGAGUCUUAACGGACUGAAAAAGAGAAAAUCUUAUGUUUGGAGGAUAUAGUGGUAAAAUGGUAUUUAUUAAGGAUAAGGGUAGUAUCGUUAUUAUUCUAAAAAAUUAAUUAAUUAAUUAAUAAGGUGGAGGGUCAUUUUGGGAAGAGAGGGCCGAAAUUGGGCUCUUGCAGCAAAGUCUUGCUCCACCCAAGUUAGAACUUAGGUGGAAGCAAUGAAUUAAAUUGUUUUUAAUUUAAAUUGGUAAAAUAAUGUAGUUAAUUUAUAUUUAUUAGUUAUUAGAUGAAUAAAAAUAAAAGUAAAUUGUAUUUUUAAUAAUUAUAUAAAACCUUAUUUGACUAAGUCCUAAACAAGACUCCUAAGCCUAAGAAAAAUCUUCUCUUUCACGCAGAUCUUUCUCUCACGUCUCUAUCACUCUCACUCGAGUUUUUCUCUGCCAACUAGCGUGCAAAAAAAGUAGGUAAAUCAAAGUUCAUCACACUUCAAGAAAUCACAAUGAAAAUUAUAGACAAACCACUACUCAAACACGUUAGGCAAAGAGAGGGUUUUUCCAUCAAGUUGGUGUUGAAGAUCUUGGAUUCGGACGUAUGUUUGGAGGGGUUUCUAUGGGAAGAAAGUCAAGGUUUUAACAUUAAAAAGGUAUGGGAUCUCUUCUCUCUUGGUCCCUUUACCAAGAGACCACUAACGGUUCAGAAUAUUCAUUCUAAAAAAUAAGAUUAUUCCCCGUUGCAUGUCACUCUCACUAGCUCCCAUUUAAUCAUAGGUUUGUUAUGUUUUCUGGUAGAAAACUAGGGAUGAAACAUAUUUUUGUAAUGAUUAUGUGUUUAUAUGUAUAUUUGUAAUUAUGUGACUUAUACUGAUGUUUCUGAAAAUGUAACUAUGUGUGUAUUUGUGUGUUGUCGUGGCAAUUGUUCAUGGUUUAGGACUUGAAAUUGCAUGAUAGUUCUUUAUACUUCCUGUACACAUGUUGAUGUAAAUGUGAUGUUCAUAUGAAUUGAAAUAUGGAUGAUAUGAGUGAAAAUAUCUAAGCUAAACGCUUACAUGAAGACACACCUAAAACGUUAUAAAUGCACUACGAAAUACCCCUAACAACUAAGGUGUACCUUGAUGAAAGGAUGUUGAAACACUAAAAGAAAAUUUCCAUCUUCUACUGAUGAAUUUCGGUCAGCAAGAAGGCUUCAAAAUGAUGAAAAAAUGAAUUAAAACAAGUGAGGUCAUAGAGGAUUGAACCCGUGCCUUCACCAUAUUAAAAACCAUGAAAAUAAAGAAGUAAAAAUAAAAUGUGGAGUGUGGGGAUUGAACCAACAACCUCUUGAAUAGAUGAGAGAGUUAGGAGGAAAAUAAAAUGUGGAGAGUGGGGAUUAAACCCACAACCUCUUGAAUGGAUGAGAGACUAAUGAGAAAAAUAAAGGAGAAAAUAAAAUAUGGAGAGUGGUGAUUGAACCCACAACCUCUUGAAUGGAUGAGAGAGUUAGGAGAAAAAUAGAGGAAAUAAAAUGUGGAGAUUGGGGACUGAACCCACAACCUCUUGAAUGGAUGGGAGAGUAAGGAGAAAAAUAAAGGUGGAGAGUAGGGAUUGAACCCACAACCUCUUGAAUGGAUGAUAGACUAAUGAGAAAAAUAAAGGAGAAAAUAAAAUAUGGAGAGUGGUGAUUGAACCCACAACCUCUUGAAUGGAUGAGAGAGUUAGGAGAAAAAUAGAGGAAAUAAAAUGUGGAGAUUGGGGACUGAACCCACAACCUCUUGAAUGGAUGGGAGAGUAAGGAGAAAAAUAAUGGUGGAGAGUGGGGAUUGAACCCACAACCUCUUGUAUAGGUCAGAUAGUUUAGAAAUAAAUAAACAGAAAAAAAAUAAUGAGCUUGUGGGGGAUUGAACCCACAACCGCCUUGCCUUAAGCCCAAAAGGGGAGGAGAACAAGAAAUAUAUAUUAUGGGGUUGGUGGGGAUCGAAAUAGGGUAUCCCUUAUCUGUAAAAUGUAAUUAUCAAAGUUUUAAAUAAGUUAAAGUAUUGUUCAAGGGAUUCUAAAUCGGGUUCCUUUAUCCUAUUCCGUGUUGACACAUAAGUCAUAUGUAAACAAAUAAUUAAUGAAUGCUGCCUCUAAAGAUCAAGUAAAUAUUAUUGCAUAUCUAAAAGAUUCACAAGUCUUGUACCACAUAAUAUUAGGUAAACAUGAAUCACUUAGACAAACUAUGAAUGAAGUCUCAUGGCCUGUAUGUGUUGACUCAUAAGACUGUCAUAAGUUUAAAAAAGUGAACCUAAGAUGUAUGUGAUGAAAUGAUAUAAAACCUAGAAGUGGUUAAAAAAGAGUGUUAAACACACUAAAUGGCUAAGUGCAUUGGCAAAUGAUGAAAUGAACAUUCAUGUAAAAGGGUUAGUAAAUAUGAAGAACAAAUGUUGUAAAGUUAAUGAAUGCGGUGAUAACAUGAUAAGAUGCUAAUAUGAAACAUGAGAGCAAUCCCAAAUGAGCCUAUGUAAAUGUUAUUAAAACAUACUCACCUAUGAGAAUGUAAAGUUAAUUGAGAGACCAGUCUCUAUGAACACUGUAAUGAAAGUAUUGAAGUUAAUGCAUAUUUAAUACUAAUGAUGGGAUGAGAAAUCAUCUAAUGAGCUAUGAUGUGCUCAUACUAGAAGCCAGCUUCCAUGACAUAUAAGUUUAAUAUAAUGGAACUUUAUACUGAGCACCGAUAGGCUAGAUAUGAGCGGUGAUGCCUUCUUUCGAAAGUUUAUGUAACUCUCAUGAGAUGAGACUGUCCAGCAUGCUGGGAAUAGGUCUCCUUAUUCAUCCUAACCUUCGAACCUAUGCAUCCAAUAUUGGAUCUGGCGGGGUUUAAUUCCCAUAUACGCUAUCAUGUUUUGCUUAACUUUGGACGGUGACUCCACCUAUUUUCAUUGUGGAAUUUCAUGACUCUAGGUUUCAUGAUUCUCACAUGAUCUAUGGCGGUUAAAGUUAAAUUUCCCAAUGAAUGAAUGAGCCCAGCCUCAAAUGAUGCACAUAAUGAAACAAAUGAUACCAAAGGUGUUAAGAUAGGAUAAUCAAGACGUGAGUUAGAUUCAAGUAAUGGCAUUCGGUCAUUCUUGGUCAUUACACAACAAACCCGAUGAAAGACUUAAACUACAUCCUAGGUGUAGCUGGUGUUUACACUGGCCCACGAAUGAAAUGGAAUGAAGUACGUAAUGAAUGAACAAAGCAGACUCUGUGUUUGCUAAAGCAGACUCCAUGGUUGAGGUCCCAUAUUGUUGAGCCCCUGAUUCCGAGGUCUCAUGGCAUACAAAUGAAUGAUAUGAACAAUGUUAUGUGAUAUAGGAAUUAUGAUAUGUGCUAUGUGUACGCUAUUAUAUGUUGUGUGCAAAAUGUUAAGUAUGAUGAUACAUGUUGCUCUCAUGGAAUAACUUUCCUAAUCAAAAUUUGAAAAGCUGAAAACUUUCAUGACAUAACUUUCCUAAUCAAAAUUUGGAAAGCUCAUAAAAUUUCCUAAUUCUAAUUUUGAGAGCUCACUCACUUUCCUAAUUUCAAUUUGGCAAGUCCACUUACUGGACCUUCUCUAAUGAUGUUGUUAGGAAAGAGCUAAUCUUACUCAUGCAUGUCCUCGUUUUGUGCUUUCAUAUACCAAUACUUAGUACAAGUGUGUACUAACUCUAUAAAACUCUAAAAUUCUAUGUGCAGGCUCAGGUGGACGCUAGAGCUACACGAUCAAAGUUGCAGUUACCCGGACGUUGAGCAUUCAUCCGGACAUGGUAGGCCCUCAUGUUUUCGAUGAUGCUUGGACAUUUACAUUCUACUUCUUUUGUAGGAAUGAUCUAGUUGAGUAUGUUCCACUUGUGUUUCUUUUUUGUUUUUGUUCAGACAUUGUAUUUGUGUCAUUUUUGCAAAUACAUCUUGAUCGCUAUAAUAAACUAUUUCUUUCAUUUGAUGAUCUUAAUGUUAGAUGGUUGAUGGUGAAUAAUUACGUAUGUAGUAGAAUGUUUAGUUAGCAUGUUAAGAAACAAAAAUUUUCAAUUUUUCUACUAAAAUUAACCUAGAUGAAGUAAGAAUGACAUAUGUAGGCUUAUCCACAACCUUUGAGUGGUCAACGACGUUGGUCUCGUCUGGGGUUUAGAUUUCACUCGUGACACAUGUUUAGCUCACAUGCUCUAUUUUUAGUUAAUGUUAAUGUUCCUAAAAGUAAAUUGAAUGAAUGGAAGUAAUAUAGAUGGACACUAACUAGGGUAACUUAAGGGUAACUACUAGUAUAGGUAUAGAUAUGACAGUUGACCUAUGCAUUGCACAAGUUGACUUUGAGAAGAGUACAAGAAGGAUGUUCUUAUAUACUUAUCUUAUAAAUGAAAUGUAGCAUAUUGACUUUAUAUGAUGUUGGUAUUAUAUGAUGUUGAGUUCAGUGAUGAACAUGUCUUUGGUGUAAAUUUAAUUAUAUGAUGAUGAGCACACAUGAUAUGAUGUAAUAUGAUUAUGAGAACACAUGAUUGAAGAGUUUCCUAGCAAUUUCUAAGCAAGACAUUGAUCUUUUCCCAAGUUAAUGAUGAGUCCUAAUGUUCGAGGAUGAUAUCACUUGUCUAUCUUAAUUAGUAUUGACUUACUUAUUUGUUUUUUGUGUAUAGUUGCGUUUAUGAAAUCGUAUUGAGCAUGUUAAUGUGUUUCCAACGAAGGUUGGCAUAAGUGACUCUUGAUUAUCAUGUUGAACUCAUGUUGAUAUUCAGAAGGUAGUUCGUCAUGUUCUGAUGUUGAGAUCUUAUAUGUGGUAAAUUGUUAUUUGAGAUGCUAUGUGUAAAUGAUAUGUUUAUAUGUUGAAUGGAGUUGUGAACUACUCCUAUGAGUUGUGACUCAUGAUGAUUAUAUGUUGUUGGUUGGGCUGCUACUCUUGAGAGUGAUAUUCUUCGUACGAAAAUAUUUAGGUGCCAUUCCGGGACGAAUGUUCCUAAGGGGGAUAAUAUAACACUCCUGAAUUCCUGUGACCUAUACUAGAGCCACACCUAUCUAAUAAUGAUAAAAAUUAUGUUUCUAGACCUAGAAUAAGAUAAUAAAGUCUUGUUAGAAGUAUUAGAGCCUAAAUGUCAAAGGAAGACCUUGAUGUUAGAAACUAGUGAAAUUAAACUAGUAUAAAACUUUUAAAAGACUUUAAAAAAGUAAAAUAAUAUUUAUAGAGUAAAAACAUCCAGUCACGACUCCCCAAAGACCACCGUAAGGGUUAUUGAGGUGGAGCCAAACAUUGGCUAGAAGGCUACCAAAGCAGCAUGCGUGCUGCCAACAUAUGAAGGUCCUUGUGUUUCACGAAGCAAUUACACGGUGGGAAAAUUUAACCUCGCGACUUAGUGUCCUCACAAGGCUGACUUCCUCAACUAGAAUGUUAGAAUUAAUAAUUAGAAUUGCCCUCACGACGCGCAACCACUUCCCAUAUUCGUUCGCGCCAUUUUUUAGUCAAUUUAACUUCACAAAAAGACAACCAUUAAGUGAGGGGUGUUUAGGGUAUUUUAGGUGAGGGUUAUAUAUUAGGGUCAGUAUGAAGUCGUUUUUACCCAUUCAAAUCAAUUCCACAAAUCAAUCUCACUUCUCUCUAAAAAUUCUCUCUCUACUCAAACUCUAUUGAAAAUAAAUUUGGAGCUUGAAGAAAAAGAUCAAUUUCUCAAGUUUUACCCUUUGAUUUCGUUGCUUUAUAAACAUUAAGGUAUGGUUUCUUUGACUCUUGGAAUUUCUUUCCCCAACAGGCCCUUCCAUAGAUGAUUUUCAACUUUCCCAAAACUAGUGUUUAAAUCUAGACAGAAUUCUCUCUUUAAAACGAAAUUGUUAUUCAAUUGUGCUGAAUUAUAAUAUUUUAGCAUUGUUUUACUAACUAUUGAUGGUCAUUUGUUUGUUAUCACUCAAGAUUGUCCCUUUGAAACCUUGUUCUUCCCGACACUCACAAUGCGUUCAAGUUCGAUAGUAAUUGUAAAUUAUGAUGACUAUAUGAAUAUGUAGAAUAAUACUUGCUAUGAAUAACUUCUUGAAUUUUACAUAUUUAUGCAUUGACCAUGUAUUCUUUGGAAUUGAAGAAUGAAAGCAAUGAAAGGGAAAGAAGAUAUAAAGAUUGAUUCUUCUUGAAUUUAAUCAUGAAGUAUGAUAUACUUACAUAGUAAUGUUUCUAUUCUAAUGUAUUGUUGUGAUUUUUAGCAAGUAUACCUCAUCCUUAACCCUAGAUUAUUAAUUUCUCUAUAAAGUAUGCAAGUAUGUUAAGAUAUGAUUAUUAUAUGAUUGAAAGUAACUUCUCAUGAUUAUGAAAAAAGUGGUCCGUGAAAGGUUUACUCACUUGUUCGUGAUUUUCUAAAGUUAAAGGGUAGUUCUCACUUAUGGAUACCUAUGAGCUAUUAUAAUGAAAGGUUGACAUAGGUGUAUAGAAGAGACUAAUUUAAUCUUGUAUAAAGAGAAUGCCUACUACUAAAGGGAAUUCAUUCUUAGCACCUAAAGGGCAUGUAAAUGAGAUGGAGGUCUCAUGUUUAGUAUGUACGGCCUUUCACAUGGGCUUCUUCAAGAUUAGUAAGUCCGGUUUCCCAAGAUAUGUGUUUUCUUAUGAGAUGGAAACCUAUACGUCUAGAUGGUCAUGGUUUCUAGAAGACCAUUAAGAAUGUGACAACAUAGGACUAUAGCUUAGUGGAUGCACCUAGAUUGCUAUGUACGAAUUGUUACACCUUAGGCAAGUGUUAACCCUCUAUUUUUUGUGUUGGAGGAGAACACGGGAUUUAAUGUAGCUCAGAUGGUCUUAUGUUGGUUAUUGAACUUCUUUCCCUAUGUAAUAAGGUAAAUGAUUAUUUCAAGUAUGUGAACUAUUAUCAGGUUUGUCUUAAAGGUUCCUACAUAGGGUGAGGAAGGGUAUACGACUUCCCUUAUCAGGUUUGUCUUAAAGGUUCCUACAUGUUAUGUGUGUCAUGCUAUAUAUGAACUUAUGAAUCAAGUAUGUUAUGGUAAAUUAAUAAGUUAUGUUUUAUGCAUGUUGUAAAUGACUUAAUGAUAUGUCUAACUUUUGAUAGGGUUAUGGGCUCCAUUCUUGCUAUUGUGCAAGUAAUGCUUUGGUUUUACUUAUAAUGUUCCAUAUAUGGCCAUGUUGAGUUAUUGAAGAUAAUUCAUGGUUUUGACUAAAUUGUUUCUUUUUUCAUGCAUUGAUGAUUUUAUUCAUAGGAACCAUACAUAUUACAUAUGUUUUGUACUAACCCAUAUUUAUUCCGCUUUUCCUUAACAUUUUAGGUUCCAGACAUUGAAGAGCUUCUGGGCCACUUUUCAAGAAUACUUGGACUUCUUCCUCCAAACAGUUGGUGAGUCCUCCAUGUUUGAGGAUGGUUCCUUUUGAUAUACCCUAGUAUUAUUGCUAUUUUCUAAAGAUAUUCGUUUUUUCCCUACUCUUAAAGACAUU
rnacentral:lncRNA from 1 species